GGAAUGCCUUGAAUUUUGAAUUUCCGACUCAGGAUUUGUUUCCUUUCGUCACCAAAUGGAAGGGCUAACCAAGGCAUUUCUGAAUAGAACUCGUCAAAGGUGGAUUGAUCGCUGUCACUUGAGAUGAAGAUCACCUCAAAUGCAUUGUCUUUUGCUUUAAUUGUGUGGUAUGCUUCAAUUAGCUUGGGUAAAAAGGCACGACAAGGAGGGCACCAUUGAGCUGAGAAGUAAAGAAGAAUGUUCUUUCCAACUAGAUCAGACACUCGGACCUAAUCAAAGAGCAAACCAUUUGAAUGAUAAAAAUACCUUUGCUAAUGAAUUCAAUUCGAGAUAAUAAGCAAGUUAUUGAAAGUAAUGCAAUAACAACAUGCGAUGUUAGCACAGAACAAAAAAUUACCUUGGAUCCACUUUUGUCAAUCACAAAAUCAUUUUCCCCAUUAACCAAAACUGACUCAAGCGUCUGCGAUUCCAGUUUUGCCUUUUCAAUUUCAGCUAGCUCCUCAAGCUUUUCCGGUGUAAAUGGGUAGGCUUCAAUUCCAUGGUCUUCGAUGAGUUCAGCUACAUUUGGGUUCAAAGUCUUCCCAUCUUGGCCAAUUAUGACAAGAUUAGGAAUGGUUCUAAGUUCAAAAUACCGCGCUAGCUUCUCGCAGCUCUUGUCCUUAAACGGCAAUGCCAACCAAGGCAUUGUCUCAAAACUCUCUUUGAAUUAGGACUACUUCAAGUUCUCUCCUUUUUCCUUGAGCCUCUUGUACAAUUCCACUAGUUUAGGAGUGAAUUCACGGCACAAUCCUAUGAGCAUGGAUUGAGAAAUACAAGCCAACCAAUUUUCCUUCAAGGUCCAACACAGGGAUCUGCCAUUACAGAUAGCAAAAAUGUAAAUUAUGGCAUCAUCAUUAAAAAUAGCAAAAAAGUGAAUGAUGGCAUCAUCAAUUCAAUUUCAAAACUAGCUAAUUGAAUGAGCCAUCUACCUUUUUUCCAUCAUUUGAAAUCACAUAAUCACGUGAGCUUGAAACCAAGAUAGAGCUUAUGGUUUGAUUCUUCUUAGCAUUCUCUUCUUGCUCUUUCAGGAAAUUCAGUCUAUCAAGGUUGAACGGAUACCCAUCCACGCCAUGUUCCUUGACAGUGCUGACUCCAUUAUCGCAGGAAACCUUGCCAUUCGUAUCAAAAAUGACAAGAUUAGGGAUCCCUCUUACUUUGAACACUUCCUUAAGACGUUUGCGGGUCUCCGUAUCAGAGAAGGGAAUAGCAAGCCAUGGCAUUUCGGAGAAGUAUGUGUUGAAGGAUUCAUCGUCUCUGUCAGAAGAAAUGAAGACCACCUCAAAGUCCCCUUUGGAUGAUAGCUGUUCAUAGACUUCUACCAACAACGGAGUGAAAUUACGGCACGGCCCGCACCACGAACCAGAGAAGUAGAAUCCCACAAUCUUCCCAACCAAAUUGCUGACCUUAACCUAAAAAUUAACGUGGAACAUUAUCAGAAAAAAGUUUCAGCCCUUAACGAAUCAAAAUCUUAUUUGUGGUUUCUUUCUCUUGCCAGUGAGAGAAGCAACAAAAAAAAGAGCUUUUUCUUAAUCAUAAAAGCUUCAGAAAUUGGUCAUAAAUUUGUUCUUCAGCAAGGCUUGCAGUCUAAUUUAAACAUGAUAUUCAUCUUAAUUACUAGAAAAACCUACAAGUUCAUAUAAAAAAAGACGUCAACUUAUAAUAAGACAAGAAGAAGUAGAAUUGAAUAAGAUCAGAGAAACUCAUAUGCUAAAAGCAGUACCUGAUCACCAUUGUUGCGGAUGAGAAAGUCCCUCUCUUCUGAAGAAAGAAGCUUUGAAAGGUCGAGAGAAACGUCUUCGGUGGCCAUAGCUAGCUAUGUGAUGAACUACUCAAAAGGCUAGAACAAUUGCCAAUCCCAGUUGCUGUGUAAUGGAACUUCCAGGCUAAGGCUCCUUUAAAGUACCUGCUCGCCCGGCCUAGGAAAUUAUUAUUCUAAUUGUCAACGACGACUACAAGGCUUGGCUGGUGUCGAGUGAUGACGAAGACAUUAUGACGUAGGUCCGCGGAAGCGGUAUUCGCAUUAUUACGUGCUUCUAUAAAUCUCCUAUUGCUUCAUUUUUUUUUUAACAUGUUUUUUUUAAUCUCCUUUUUUUGUUUGUAUUCUAGUUUUUUAAAAAUUAUGAGUUUGUUAUUAAAUAUAUUUUUUGUUUUUAUCUCUUUAAUAAAAUCUUUAUUAAAUGUGACUUGAUGAUAACAACAUGUAAUUUAAUAAAUUGGUUAAGAUCCAAACUUAAUAGAUUCCUUCUUAUCCUUCUGAUAAAGUUUUUUAAUAGUGAAACUCUCAACUCCUUUUGAUUUAAAAAAUAAUGAUGUUACGUGUAUUUAAUAAUUAUAAAUCAAAUUAUAUUAUGUAUUUGAGCCACGUCAUGACUCUAUUUCAAUAAAAAAAAUCCUUAUAUUUUUAGGAGAGAAAGAAAGAGUUUUUAAAUACAAUAUUUUAUCAUAAUUUUGACCUUUCCCUACUCAAAAGUGCACUAUACAUAUAUAUCAUUAUCUUUUAUCGAACACUCCAAAUGUAUUUAAAUUUGUCAAUUAAUUGUAAAUAAGGGAAGUUAAUGAAUUUCCACUCUAAAAUGUUCAAAUUCAUUGUUUGCUUUCAACUUUGUUCUAAUUAAAUCAGGUUAAGUAUAUGACUUUUUUCAUUAGUGGGUAUCCACUAGAUAUUCUAUUUGAUCUAUUUUUUUAAUUAAUUUUAUAAAAAUAAAACCUAAACUAAAAAAAUAAAAUAAUUCCUCCUUCAUGAAUCAUAAAACUAUGAAAUUAAAUUAAAUAAAAAAAUAAGAGAUGUUGUUAGUUUAGUGUUGUUGCAAAGUGGACAAAAACUCAAAAUAUCAAGGAUAAGAAUAAUAUUAUAGUUUUAUUUUUAAAAUUUUUUUUCAAUAUAAUCACUAAAUAUUUUUUUUAAUUUCAUCUUUGAUAUUUUAUUAAUCAAGAAUUUGGACUUAUUGGUUGGUUUUCUAUAAUCUUUUAUGUGGGGGAAAUUAAAUGUCUCUACAUUAGGGUCAUGUUUGAUUUUACAAAAUAAAAUCCUAUUUUAUUGCAUAUAAAAAUUUAAGACUUGGGGCCAAAAUUGACCGUUAGCAACAAUUUCAAGAUUCUUUAUUUGAGAAAUGUUCAUUUCUCCAUAUUUUACUUUAAAAAUUUUAUAUUUUAAUCCAAAACUCUAUUUUGAUCACAUUUCAGUCUCUAGCUUUAAACAAAAGAUAAAAAUUCAUUGAAAAUAAUGAAAGAGAGAGAAACACAUAGAGUGACAAAGUUUUGUUAGUAAAAAUAACUAAAAUUUGUGUCAAUGUGUUCUUCUUGAUAAGAAGAGUGCUACUAUGGUGUUUUUGACUUUUUAUAUAUAAAAAAAAAACAGAUCGAGAUUUGGAGAGUUUUUUUUUAAGGUUAAACUUUGUGUUUUAAAAUUAUUUUAGGGUUUUUUUAGUUGAUGGAUUAGUUUAUAGACAAUCUAAAAGUGUCUAUUAGAUAUUUUUAGAUAAAAAUAUAUUAAAAAAUAAAUUUUAAAAUAAAAAACAAUCCAAUUCUUCAUCCACCUUUCCAAUGAUAGGAAAAUUAAGCAAGUAAAAUGAUGUGUCAUUUACUUUAUUUAAAGAAAAAACAAUAAAGGAUAGAUGUUAUGUCAUCCAUCAAAGAAAACAUAAAAAUAUAAAAUGGCUCUUCCAUCUUUUGAAUAAUUGAGCCAUUUGGCCCCACAAACAUGGCUUGUUUUGGGCCAUUAUUUUUAAAUUUUUGGAUCUUUAUCCUUGAGUUUUAAUUUUAUUUCAUUAAAAUUAAUUAUUUAAGAACACAUUAAGGAUGUUAUUUUAAUAAAUACUUAAAUUAUUAAAAAUAUACAUGAGAUAUUAUUUUAUUAGAUACCAUUUAAUUUUUACUUUGUUUUUAAAUAAAAUUAUAAUAUUUUUUUUAUAAUAUUAGUAAGGGUUUUUUUGGCAUAACCCAUCAUGAUCUUUCUUAUCUUUGCACAUACGCUGUCAAAGACUAUAAUAAUAGAUUCCAUGAAAAAGAAACUGCGAGAACAUGAAACAUGCAUUUGAACAUGAAAAGGUAAAUAAGCUGAACAUAAUUAAUGGGCCAUAGAAGCGAAGGUUUUUUCAAUGGCUUCAAACUUCUUGGCAGCGUGCUUCAUUGUUGUCGCCGAAUUUCUUCGCAGUGUGCUUGCUUGAAACGUGGAUGUAUCACAUGGAUGAUAUUUUCGUUCUUUGGACAGGAGUGAUAAGCAUUUUCCUUUAGGAAUGACAAAAACCUCAUAACAAGUGAUUGAAAUUUGAGAACAACCAUCAACCAUGGAUUCCCAGGUUUCAAAUGGGUCACAGGAUUCACAUAAACACAGCCAAUCCGGUUAUUUAUGUUUGGUAUCGAAAUACAAGACAUGAAAAUCCUUCAGCAACACGCCUCUUAAUUAGAUAUCAAUAGCAGGAAAGACAUCCACUAUCUUCACACACAUGCCACAAACACCUUACAUCGCAAACUUAUUACGGCAGAAACCCCAUAAAACCAGAUACCAGGUGCGCUUGCCCGCUUAAGCUCUGCGGCACACAUCACCAUCGCAGAUCCUUCCUUCCUUUCCCUUUUCAGUUCCAGUAUCUUCAUCUUCCUUCAAAGCACACUUAGGGUGAAGAUCAAAGUCACAUUGUUUGCAAUAGAAAGACCAACCAUGUCCUGUUCCACGACAGCCAUUGCAAACAUAUGCUUUGCGUUUAGUACGAAUCAGCUCAUGCUCAGUAUGAAGUUCGUGUUUCACUUUCUCUGGCCACCCCUUUGCCUUUUCCUCAAGCUCCUCCUCCAAUUGCUUUAGAUGUUCCUCGGUAAAUGGAAAAGCAUCUGCCCCGUAAGCUGUCAAGUGCAUCCGAGCUUCCUUGGUAAUGGUCCGGCCACUUGGGCCAAUCGCUACAGCUGCAGGAAUGCCUUGAAUUUUGAAUUUCCGACUCAGGAUUUGUUUCCUUUCAUCACCAAAUGGAAGGGCUAACCAAGGCAUUUCUGAAUAGAACUCGUCAAAGGUGGAUUGAUCGCUGUCACUUGAGAUGAAGAUCACCUCAAAUGCAUUGUCUUUUGCUUUAAUUGUGUGGUAUGCUUCAAUUAGCUUGGGUAAAAAGGCACGACAAGGAGGGCACCAUUGAGCUGAGAAGUAAAGAAGAAUGUUCUUUCCAACUAGAUCAGACACUCGGACCUAAUCAAAGAGCAAACCAUUUGAAUGAUAAAAAUACCUUUGCUAAUGAAUUCAAUUCGAGAUAAUAAGCAAGUUAUUGAAAGUAAUGCAAUAACAACAUGCGAUGUUAGCACAGAACAAAAAAUUACCUUGGAUCCACUUUUGUCAAUCACAAAAUCAUUUUCCCCAUUAACCAAAACUGACUCAAGCGUCUGCGAUUCCAGUUUUGCCUUUUCAAUUUCAGCUAGCUCCUCAAGCUUUUCCGGUGUAAAUGGGUAGGCUUCAAUUCCAUGGUCUUCGAUGAGUUCAGCUACAUUUGGGUUCAAAGUCUUCCCAUCUUGGCCAAUUAUGACAAGAUUAGGAAUGGUUCUAAGUUCAAAAUACCGCGCUAGCUUCUCGCAGCUCUUGUCCUUAAACGGCAAUGCAAACCAAGGCAUUGUCUCAAAACUCUCUUUGAAGUGUUUUUCCUCAGAGUCUAGAGAUAUUAGGACUACUUCAAAGUUCUCUCCUUUUUCCUUGAGCCUCUUGUACAAUUCCACUAGUUUAGGAGUGAAUUCACGGCACAUCCUAUGAGCAUGGAUUGAGAAAUACAAGCCAACCAAUUUUCCUUCAAGGUCCAACACAGGGAUCUGCCAUUACAGAUAGCAAAAAUGUAAAUUAUGGCAUCAUCAUUAAAAAUAGCAAAAAAGUGAAUGAUGGCAUCAUCAAUUCAAUUUCAAAACUAGCUAAUUGAAUGAGCCAUCUACCUUUUUUCCAUCAUUUGAAAUCACAUAAUCACGUGAGCUUGAAACCAAGAUAGAGCUUAUGGUUUGAUUCUUCUUAGCAUUCUCUUCUUGCUCUUUCAGGAAAUUCAGUCUAUCAAGGUUGAACGGAUACCCAUCCACGCCAUGUUCCUUGACAGUGCUGACUCCAUCAUCGCAGGAAACCUUGCCAUUCGUAUCAAAAAUGACAAGAUUAGGGAUCCCUCUUACUUUGAACACUUCCUUAAGACGUUUGCGGGUCUCCGUAUCAGAGAAGGGAAUAGCAAGCCAUGGCAUUUCGGAGAAGUACGUGUUGAAGGAUUCAUCAUCUCUGUCAGAAGAAAUGAAGACCACCUCAAAGUCCCCUUUGGAUGAUAGCUGUUCAUAGACUUCUACCAACAACGGAGUGAAAUUACGGCACGGCCCGCACCACGAACCAGAGAAGUAGAAUCCCACAAUCUUCCCAACCAAAUUGCUGACCUUAACCUAAAAAUUAAUUUCGAAAAUUAUCAGAAAAAAAAUCAGCCCUUAACGAAUCAAAAUCUUAUUCAUGGUUUCUUUCUCUUGCCAGUGAGAGAUGCAACAAAAAAAAAGAGCUUUUUCUUAAUCAUAAAAGCUUCAGAAAUUGGUCAUAAAUUUGUUCUUCAGCAAGGCUUUGCAGUCUAAUUUAAACAUGAUAUGCAUCUUAAUUACUAGAAAAACCUACAAGUUCAUAUAAAAAAAGACGUCAACUUAUAAUAAGACAAGAAGAAGUAGAAUUGAAUAAGAUCAGAGAAACUCAUAUGCUAAAAGCAGUACCUGAUCACCAUUGUUGCGGAUGAGAAAGUCCCUCUCUUCUGAAGAAAGAAGCUUUGAAAGGUCGAGAGAAACGUCUUCGGUGGCCAUAGCUAGCUAUGUGAUGAACUACUCAAAAGGCUAGAACAAUUGCCAAUCCCAGUUGCUGUGUAAUGGAACUUCCAGGCUAAGGCUCCUUUAAAGUACCUGCUCGCCCGGCCUAGGAAAUUAUUAUUCUAAUUAGUCAACGACAACUUCAAGGCUUGGUGUCGGGUGAUGACGAAGACCUUAUGACGUAGGUCCGCUGAAGUGGUAAUUCGCAUUAUUACGUGCUUCUAGAAAUCUCCUCUUGCUUUUUUAGCUUUUAUUUUGAAUAACGCAGACAUGCUGAGUCACUUGGCCCAACAAACAUGCCUUGUUUUUAGCCUCUUUUUUUUUUUUUCUUUAUCUUUAUCCUUAAGUUUUAAUUUAAUUUCCUUAAAAUUAAUUAUUUAAAAACAUAUUAAGGAUGUUAUUUUAGUAAAUACUUAAAUUAUUAAAAUUAUAUAUGAAAUAUUAUUUUAUUAAAUAUCAUUUAAUCUUUAAUUUAUUUUCAAAUAAAAUUAUAAUAUCAUUCUUAUAAUAUUAGUAUGAAUUGUUUUUCACAACCCAUCAUGAUUUUUUUUUAUCUGUACAUAUACGUUGUCAAAAAAUAUAAUAAUAGAUUCUAAAAAACAAUUAAGGAUACUAUUGAACUAUAAAAUGAUAAUUGAUUAAGAGCAUAUUAAAAAAUGUGAUAGAAAUUGUAUUUUAAAAUAGUUUUUAUUGGAAAUAUAUUAAAAAAUAUUUUUUUUAAUUUUAAAAAAUUUAUUUUUGAUAUCAAUAUAUUAAAACAAUCUAAAAUACUUUAAAAAUAUAUUAUUUUUUUAAAAUUUAAGCAAAUAGUAUUUUAAGCAGUACUAAACACCCCAUUUUACUAUAAACAAAAUCAUCAUAUUUUUAAUCUAUUUAUCACAUCAUGAAACAUCAUGAUGAUUAAUUAGCAAACACAACACCACCGUGUAGAAACCAUGUGUGACACUUCAAAUUCAUCGUAACAAAUUGAUCAAAUUAUAAAAUAAUCCUUAUACUUCUAAGAAAUUAGUAGCUCACUCCCUUUAUUUAAAAGAAGCCAUAUUUUACCUCCAUGUUAUCAUUUCCAUUUACUAUAACUUAGUUCUUCCUUUAGUUUUACAUUGUAAAAGUGCUAAACCAUCAUUUUAGGUAUUAGUUAAAAAAAAGUAUCUAUUAACAGAUUGACGGUCAAAGCUUCUCAAUUGAGUAACUUUUUUGUUUUUAAAAAACAGAAGGACUAACAUGUUGGUCUAUUGAAAAUGUAAGGAUUCAAUUAUAAUUUAAUUCAAGAAACAAAUAUGAUGCUAUUGACAUGUCCACAAGUCCACUGGCACAAUUAUUGCUUAUAACCCAUCACCUAUCAAUAGUGAUGGGGGAGGGGGGGGCCAGAAGUGUCCUUCUCCCGUAGGGUAAAAGCCCAGCAGUGUCCUCCCCCAUCGUAGGGUGGUCCAAACACAAGAUGGCUAGAGAUACUAAGAACCUGUUUGGUAUUGCGGUAGCUAUUAUGGUUGUGAUUUUAAAAAAGUUAUUUUAUAAAAAUUAUUUUUAGUUAAGGUUGGUUUAAUAAAAUAGGUGUUUGGUUAAAAUUGUGGUUGAAAUUGAGGUUGAACAAAAAGUAGUUUAAUGUGUUUGGUUAAUAAUGCUUUUGAAAUUGAGGUUAUAAAAUAAUUUUAAAAAAUAUAUAUUAAUAUUGAUGUUUUUUAAUUUAAAUAUUGUAGAUUUAACUAUUAUUAUUACAUCAUGAAAUAAAUCAUACUUUAUAUAAAAUAUUUUUUAUUGAUUCAUUAAACCAUCUACAUUUCUAUCACGUACGAAAUACAUCCGACAAGAACUACAGUUUUCAUAAUUUUUUAGCGUGUAAUAAAAUUAGAUAAAAUAUUAUCAUGUAUAAAACUAGUUUUUUUUUAAAAAAAAUGUUAAAAAAAUUAACACACUAAAAAAAAAGUGUCCACACAGUGCAAGUGAACAAUGCAAGAGAAUUGCACUGUUCACUAUUUUUAAGUGAACAGUGCACUUUUCUUGCACUGUUCACAUGAACAGUGCAUCACUAUGCACUGUUCAUGUUAAUUGAACAGUGCAAUUAACAUGAAUAGUGCAAAAAAAGUAAGGAAUUCUUGCUUUUUAAAUACUGCGUUUCCAACACAAAAAAGAAAUAGGAUCCAGUAAACAGUAUAUCUUUUUUUUUUAAUCAAACAACUACAAUUACGUUUUAAAUAAAACGCAACCGCAGUCACUGUGAUAAAAAUUAUUAUUAUCACCAUUAUUACCAUCAUAAUAAACUAUUAUUUUUAUUUUUAUUGCUGUUAUUGUUACUCUUAUUAUUAUUAUCAAAAAAUUUAUCAUCAUCAAUAAUAUUAUCACACCUAUUAAUAUCAUCAUCAUAAAUAAUAUUGUUAUUUUCAUUAUUAUUUUUAUUACUACUACUAUCAUCACUAUUUUUAUAACUAACAUUACUAUUAUUAUUUUUAUUUUUAUCACCACCAUCACCACCACAAGUCCACAACCACCACCACCACCAUUAUUGAAAAAGAAAAAACCUUAAACUUGAUUUGAAUAGAAUUGAAAACUAUAAAUUUUUUUAUAAAAAGACUAGGAAAAACAAUAAGAAAUUAAAAGAAUAUGGACCAAAUUGAAAUCAUUAUUAUUAUCAUUGGCAAAAUAAAAAAUUAUAAACUUGAUUUGAAGAAUAAAACUGAAAGUAAUAAAAACUUUGAUAAAAAAACAAAGAAAAAAAAUUAAAAAUUAAAAGAAAAGAAGACCGAAUAUAUACAAAUUAAAAAUCAAGGGUUAAAUUGAAAAAAAAACUUUCCCAAAAGGAAAAAUGAUCAAAAUACCAAAAUCAAAACUAAAAGAACUGAAUUUGAAAUACCAAUAACAAUGAGGUCCAUAGUGCUUUUCGGGGGGCAGGAAAAAAAACAAAAGGAAAAAAAAAGGAUCACUAGCAAUAAACCAAAUAUAUUUUAACUACACAAGCCACCUAUUAUAAAAGAGGAGACAGUGAGACAUCAAAUUACACAGCAGAAGGACAAUUUUUAUCAUUGGGAGUCGCUGCAUGCACCGUCCAAAUUACACAACAGCUCCCAUGUGAUGGCUCGUGUUGUGCACGUAGCAACAACUUUUUUAAAAUAAAAAAAUAUUAUUUAAAUGUUAAAUUGCAUUACUAUCCUCAACCAAAUCAACAAUUAACAAAAAAAAAAACAAGAGUAAAAGACCCUAAUACCCUUGAUCCCAAUGAAUUAAUUUUUUUAGAUCCAAGGGUACAUGUGUAAUUUCACUAUGUAUUAAAAAUAAAAAAUACCUAUAUACUCCUAUAUGAAACUAUUGAUUUUUUUUACUCCUAGAGGUAUUUUUUUUAUUUUAUUUUUCAUUAAAUAUUAAAAAUAUAAAAAUGCCCUCAAACAAACCUCUAAUAAUUAAUAUUCUGUGUGAAAUUACCAAAAUACCUCUGAAUCAAAGGUAAAUAAUUUUUUUUAAGGCUAUAGACAUUAUUUCACUAUUGUAAUGGAUAGUAAUAUGACUCUAUAGCCAUAAUGAAUUUGCCUUUUUUUUAGUAUUUUUUUUAUAAUUAGUCAACUAUACUUCAAGACUUGGCUGGUGUCAGGUGAUGACAAAGAUAUAAUGAUGUAUAUUAGAUGCUUAUAUAAAUCUCUUGUUUUUUUAAAAAAAAUGAAAAACAUAUUCCAUUUUGUAAUCUUUUUUUUUUCCGUUUGUAUCAUAGUUUUUAAACCCGACCUGGUGGUCGACCCAGUAUAAUAAUUGGGUCACGGGUCAGAUGGGUUGACUCGGGUUAAUAAAAAAAAAAAUAAUUUCUUGCUUGCCCUUGGACUAAUAAUAAUAAUAAGCAUCAUUGAAAAAAAGAAAAGUUUCUAGAGAAUAACCCUGCUUGCCACUCAUGUUUGACCAGAUCCAAAACCAAACAUUGAUUGCCCUUAUAUAAUUAGCACAAUCACCCUCACAACACAGUACACACAAAUCCCUACCCCGCUCUUUACAAACCACCUUCCCGCCACCUCCACAGCCACCACAAGCCCACCAUCACCUUCUCAAUUUUGGGAUUCAAAGUUCCUUCUCAAAGGCGUAGAAGAGAUUACGAAAUACAAGAGCAAUGCCUACCUUCACAACCACAACUAUUAUGUCAUCUCAAAGCAGCAACCUUAGUCUCCACAAACUCAAGAUUAACCCAAAAACACAAUCAAACAUAGUCACAAUUGGUGGGUGAAUUUUUCAAACAACAGACUAAACCCUAACUCAAGCAGAUCUGAAAUCCCUCUUUUCCUAACUCUCCAAGCUGAAUCAACUUGUUCCCUAUUUCAUCAAUCGAGACCCUAAUUUAUUCUCUAUUCUCUUAUCCCUCUUGAGAACCGGAAAUCUCCCCUCAAAGACCAAGUUUUCUGUGAAGAGUCAAAGUUUUACAAGAUUGAAGAGAUUAGUUUUCUGUGAUUCUGUAUUUAUGUUACAAAUGAUUUGAAGCAAAAGAAUUAAUUUGAUUGCUGCAACUCUCAUCUUAAUUUAUUAGAGAAGAAAAAUCGAGCUAAAACCGUGAAGCCUAGUUUAAAUGAACGAACAAUUAACUUUUAUACGUGGGAUCUUGCACGUGAAGCCUAGGAAAGGGCAAUGGCCAAAUAGAGAGACCCUGUUUUUAGAGGGGAGGAAAAUAGAAUUUUUAAAUACAAUAACUAUCAUUUGGCAAUUAACGGUAUCUUCUGAGUUGUGACUUUUCCGCAAUCAAAAGCACAAUUGAUUUUUAUUAAGUUUUUUUAAAAAUUUCAACUCUCACCCGCACAAUAAUAUUUUUAAUAAUCAAUCCAUCUCAAAUUAUUAAAAAAAAUUAAAUACAAAAUAAAUUCUAAGUAAUUUUGAAAAAAUAACAAAAAAAUUCUAAAUAAAAUAAAAAAAAUAUCUUAAUUCAAUUAGGUAAGCAUAAUAGCUUAUGGUUUUUUUCGUAAUGCCUUCUCAAUAUCUAAUUGAUAUUAUAUUUUAACUUUAUAUGAAAUUUUUUACUCAAUUCAAUAAUCAAAUCAAAAGUUAUAUCUAUUAACAUAAAACUAUAUAUUAGAAAAACAAGCUCAAUUCACGUGUGAGUAGGAAAAAAAAUUGAAUCCAUAAGUCUUGUAAUAAAUAAGACCCAAAUAUCUUAAAUUAACCAUUAAAUGCCUUUUUAACCUUCUUAGCUCCUAACUCCUAACUUUUUAAUAGAUCCAAUUGGCACAUGUAUUAGAUCAUGUAGUAUUGCUUGAUAAGUCUCAACAACAAUUUUUCAAUUCAUCCAAAUUGAUAAGAAGAAAAAUAAAUGAAAUAUGGAAAACCACUCUCUAUAAAGAAAAUGACAAUAAAAUCUUCCAUCAAACUCUUAACCAUCUCAUUGCAAAAAACCCUCUCGUCGGUCGUCGAAACCACCAAAAUAUAAUUCUGACUUAAUUAUCACAAACAAAAUAAAUUUAUAGUAUGAUCGUGAAAACCAGGUCAAACUCAAGGAAAAUUUUGUUUAAUCUUCCUACAAUAUACUGAAAUGAGAAAGAAUGAGAGAUUUGGAUGAAAAAUUCAAGAAACAAUAAUUCUGAAAAUAAUAAAUUGAUGUCGUUAAAUCAGUUCAAGGAUCCACACAUUCAUUCCUAUAAAUCUGUUGAUCAUCGAAGUAAAAUAAAUAUUCUUUCGCAUCAAACAAAUAAACUCGAUAUCCCUUAAAGCUGAGGAAAAUCGAUGAGAUUAUAAGUUCAUUAAUUAGAAAAAGCUCUUUAAUUAAUUUCUUACCAUCAAAGGAAUGUAAUAUUGAAAGCAAUUUUCAUUUACUCGGUAGUAGUCUUAGAAAUAAAAUCUAUGCAUUUAUUCUAAGCAAACAUUCAAAAGAUUGACAAUUUUAACUUAGUUUAUUCUUCUCUAAUAAAUUAAGAUGAGAGUUACAGCAAUCAAAUUAAUUCUUUUGCUUCUUACUCUAGUUCCUAACAACAAUUACGGAUUGAAAAAAACUAGAAAGCAUACAUGCCAUCUCAAAACAAUUCAAUAAGCUUGAAUAACAAUCAAUAACAUAAUUCUGAACAAGAAAAAAUGAAUACUUGAAUAUGAUAGAAUUACAAUGAUAAUGUUACUUCUCACAACAUGUUAAUGGAGAUGGUGUGUAUCCCUCUUGAACCUAAUUCAGGAGUUUAGUUCAUAGUUGCUGAAAAAUUGACAAAAGCAGAGAAGAAAGGAAUGUUUUUCGACUCUUGUUUCAGCUGUGUUCUGCUUUCUUUAUCCUCCCCAUAUGCUACCGAAAUCUUCAGGAUUCUUAAACUAAUUAGGAGUCUUCAUGAUAUUAAAUUCGUUCCUUCUUUAUCUGGUCUUUAAGGUUGGAUAAAUCUCUCAGAAUUUAUCUUGAAAUCUGCUUCUGCUGUUAUCAUAAUUUUAUUGUAAUACCAACUCUGUUGUAAUUUAGACUUCGAUUCUGACUUGGUUUCUUGUAAUAUCCGACCAUUCCAACUAUAUUCUUUCAUUCAUGACAUGUUAAAGGCUUGAUCUGCACCUUUCUUGGGUCCUAAGACCCAUCUUUUUUAUGUCAGACUCUCAGCCUUAUUGGGAUACUCGGCACCAUUAGUUUCCAAAUCAGAUCAGGGGACCCAUUUUGACCAACCAGAUUGUGUCCAUAUUCUGUCCUUCAAAUCGAUUUUAUCUAACUUUAAGUCUUUCAUGAAAGUUGUAAUCCUGGAUGUGUAGAUGAAUUUUGGUUUUGAAUCACCUACUUUCGAUAUCAAAAACUCAAGAUAUUCCCGUUUGAAUCUCUAGUGUAAAAGCAGAGAAUCCUGCUGCGAGAAGAACUCUGGCCCGAGUUUGCAGGUCUGAUUCGAGGUCCAAAUGAGAUCGGAAUUUUGCCCAUAAUACUUUCCUGGAAAGCUUGACACGUGUACUUCAACUUAGAAUAGCCCACCUUCUCAUUUUAGAACUCUAACUUGACAAAAAACUUGUCACAAGAAGCUAGGUCUAAAACAUAAAAUGCAAAAUUUCUUAUGUUUUAACGAUUAAUUCACGAAGUCUCUUCUGCAUGUCAAACUCAUAAAAAUAACUUCCAAUCAACUCAAAUAAGUUCAAAAUACAUUAAAAAGCAUAGUGCAAAUGGAAUAAAAACUAUGUAUAUUUUGCACUUAUCAUCCUUACAAACAUAGCAUAAGCAGUUAUCUCAAAUUUCAUACCAUUAUUUUGUCAAUUUUUUGCACAAUCAAUAUCCCUGACAUGACUUGAUGUCAAACUUGUUGUUAAUGACUUAAUAGAUAACAAGACUAAGAAAUUUUGAUCUUUCAUCUUCAUAAUUUUGAAAAUAAAUCUAUUAAAAAGUUAUGUAUGUUAUGUUGACAAGUCAACAAAACAAUGCAUAACUACUGAGUUUUUCAAACUAAAACUCCAUAGAUAUAUACAUGUGAAAUCCCCGAUGCUAAAUGAAAUCAUAAAAGAAAGAUCUCAUAGAGUAAUUUCCAGGAACAUUUUUCAUGCAAUAAAUAAAGUAAGAGGUUGGUAUUUUUGUGUGUGUGUAUUUAGUCAUUUAAAAGUUAGAACAUAAUAAGAUUAAUAGACAAUGCAUUACAGUAAACUAGCAAUUGGUAAACUCAAAAGAUGCAAGACUUUCCACAAUGCCUCUGGUCUUCGAUUUCAGUAAAUAUCCAAGGCUACAAAACACAUUGAAUAUUAUUCUAAAAGAAAAUCUUGAUUUUAAGGAAAUGAGGAUAUGAUUUGGUAACAAUUACUUAAAAUGUUGAAAUUAACAAGUCAAAGCUCCAUACUCUUAAUUUUAGAAACCGUUUCAAUUUUUUUUUUGCUAAAAUUUAAUAUGUAUUAUAUGUUUUGAAUCGUUUUGAUGUACUGAUGUUAAAAAUAAUUUUUUAAAAAUGAAAAAACAUCAUUGGCAUGCAUUUCAGCAUAAAAAGUUAUUUGAAAAGCAACCGCAACCACACUGCAAAACAUACCCACCAAUGCAACUUUAACUAUCAUGCAUGAAGAAAUCUUAGGGCAAUUAGACUUGCGUUUAUUCAAAUCUACAUAUGAAAAAAAAAUCCCCAUUUCCUAAAACUCGCAAAGAUCUAGCACUUUGAUGCAUUAUUAUAAAUCCAAAUCGGCAAGCUUGCUAUAACAUUGCUUACAUGAUCGCCCAUGAAUUAUCACAGCAAUUAGCUCCCUAGUUUCCAAUAUUCGCAAUUAAUGAGUCAAUAUGGUUUUUUCCUUUGAAACAACUUGUCCACGUGAAUCACAUCUGCAUAAGAAAAGACAAUAUAAGCCAUAAAAAUUGAUCUAUACCAUAACCAGUCCUGAUAUUGACAAAGGAAAGUUAAAGGCUACAUUUGCAAGCUAUAUUCAUCAAACAUGUUACAACGUGUUGAAUUAGUAAGAUGUAAAUCCUUUAGCAAAGAAAACAAUAAGAUGGUUAAACAUGCGGGCUUGCCGAGCCACCUUUACCUGUUUUAAGUCUUUAUUUUUAUCUUUUGGAUAUUUUCCUUAAAUUUUAAUUAUAUUUCAUUAAAACUAAUCAUUUAAAAAUAUAUUAGCUUAAAUUAAUUAAGAAUAUAUUUGGGGUAUUAUUUUAUUAAAUAUCAUUCAAUUUUUACUUUUCUUUAUACAACCUAUCGUGAUUUUUUUUAAUUUAUUCCGACGAGUAAUUAUUUUUAUUAUGAUAUAAUUAAAUGAAAAAUAAGCUUAAAAAAUAGAUUUAUUAAACCAAGCUAGGUUUAAUAUGGGUUGAACCAAGUCAAUUCAAAAUAUUAUCAUCUUAAUAUUAGAAAAACAUCACCAAUAAAUUUCACAUAAUAACACGCAAAUAGUAUGUUGUUCUUAUGUUUUGUUUCAAUUGAAUUUAAAUUGUUUCUCUUCUUCUAAAAACAUUAUUGCCAUAUAAUCAAAUAAAAAAAACUAAAGAGUUAUUAAUGAUUUAAAAUAAGAUAUAUAUAUAUAUAUAUAUAUAUAUAUAUAUAUUUAUUAGCUUCCUAAAUUAUUUUUUAGUUAAUGUUAAUGAUUUUUUAACAUUUAUUUGCAUAUAAUUUUCAAUCAAUUUUACUAGAUAAAUAUAUGGAGUUCAUAAUAAUUAUUUUUAUUAGAAAAUUUAUUGAAAAUAUAUAAUGUUCUUUUUUAAAAUUAAAAAAAAUAAAAUUAAGUUGACAUGUGCCGGAGCGCAAGCCUCCUAGCCGCUACUCUUCACUGGGACCAUUGAGUGGUUGGUCUAGAUAAUAUCGAUGUCGUCGUUGUAGUUUCCUGAGUCACUGGCUCUUCAAGAAUAAAUUAUUAGCAUACAUAAUAUCGAUGUCGUCUUUGUAGUUUCCUCGACGCGUCACUGGCUCUUCAAGAAUAAUUAUUAGUAUAGAUAUUUUUAUGUUUUUAAAAUAUUUUAAAAAAAAAUUAUUUUUUUAUUUUAAAUUAAUUUAUUUUAGUGUUUAUAGAAUUGAUUUGAUGUGUUAAUAUUAAAAAUAAUUUUUUAAAAAUAAAAAAAUUGUUUUAUUAUAUUUACAAGAUAAAAAUAUUUUCAAAAACAAUUGUAAUUAUAUUUUUAUAAGCCCCAUAUAUUCACCUAGCUAUAUGUUGUUUGAGAGUGGGUACAAAUAAAGAUUUGUUAAAAAUUAAUUUUUUAUUUUAUUUAAAAUUAAUUUUUUAUUUUUAGAUUAUUUCAAUAAGUUAAUAUCAAAAUAAAUUUUAAAUAAUAAUAAAAUAUUAUUUUAAAGUAUUUUUACAUACCUUGUACUAGAUUCACAGUAUCAAGAGAAGAAGGGUUGCUAGUUGCUACCGGAGAAGUUAGUUUCAUUGAUUGAUGGAAUGUUAUACUUUAGAAAUCAAAUAAUAUGGUGUCACGAGAAUUAAGCAAAUAGAAAAGCAUUAAAUUUAUGGAAAUCCUUUCCUGUUCUGCGAGGGGAAGGAGUUAGUGGUCUUGAUGUAGUUGUUGGCUUUGCUAACUUUUCCUGUUUUCUAUUAAAGUGUGGUUGUAGUUAUUUUUAAAAAUAUUUUUUUGUGUUGAAAUAUAUCAAAAUAAUAUAUUUUUUAUUUUUUAAAAAUUAUUUUUAAAAUUAGCGCAUCAAAACGAUACAAAACACAUAAAAAAAUUAAUUUUUAAUAAAAAAAUAGAAAUUUCUAGAAACACAAUUUAUUCGCGUUCCGAAACGGUGCCAUAACGGUUGCUUGGAUUGGAAAUUCUUGUUUCUUUUACGGUGGAGUUACAAUGGUUUCAUUGUAUAAUGUUCGUUAAGUCACAAUCAGCCCAGUUUUUGUAUUUAAUCAGCAUUACAAUUACAGGAAUAUUUGCUCCAGAGGUGAAGCUGGUUCUUCAUCCAGCCAAAUAGAAACAAAGAGAGCGGCACAAUGGCAUCAUGCAUAGCAUUUUCCUUUAGGAAUGACAAAACCCUCAUAUCAAGUGAUUGAGCUAUGAGAACAACCAUCAACCAUGGAUUCCCAAGUUUCAAAUGGAUUCACAAAAACACACAGAGCUGUUUAUUUAUUUUUCGUAUCCAAAUACAGGACAUGAAAACCCUUUCAGCCUCACACUUCUUAGAUACAUAACGACAACAGGAGAGACAUCCCCACUAUAUUCACACACAUGCAACAAACAUCUUCCAUUGCAUACUUACUACAGCAGAAAGCCCAUAAAACCCGACACAAGCAGCGCUUGCCUGCUUAAGCUCUGCGGCACGCAUCUCCAUCGCAGUUCCAUCCUUCCUUUCCCUUUUCAGUUCCAGUAUCUUCAUCUUCCUUCAAAGCACACUUAGGGUGAAGAUCAAAGUCACAUUGUUUGCAAUGGAAAGACCACCUAUUUCCAGUUUCCCCACAGCCAUCGCAAAUAUAUGUUUUGCGUUUAGUACGUAUCAGCUCAUGCUCAGUAUGAAGUUCGUGUUUCACUUUCUCUGGCCACCCCUUUGCCUUUUCCUCAAGCUCCUCCUCCAAUUGCUUUAGAUGUUCCUCGGUAAAUGGAAAAGCAUCUGCCCCGUAAGCUGUCAAGUGCAUCCGAGCUUCCUUGGUAAUGGUCCGGCCACUUGGGCCAAUCGCUACAGCUGCAGGAAUGCCUUGAAUUUUGAAUUUCCGACUCAGGAUUUGUUUCCUUCCAUCACCAAAUGGAAGGGCUAACCAAGGCAUUUCUGAAUAGAACUCGUCAAAGGUGGUUUGAUCGCUGUCACUUGAGAUGAAGAUCACCUCAAAUGCAUUGUCUUUUGCUUUAAUUGCGUGGUAUGCUUCAAUUAGCUUGGGUAAAAAGGCACGACAAGGAGGGCACCAUUGAGCUGAGAAGUAAAGAAGAAUGUUCUUUCCAACUAGAUCGGACACUGGGACCUAAUCAAAGAGUAAACCAUUUGAAUGAUAAAAAAAACCUUUGCUAAUGAAUUCAAUUCGUGAUAAUAAGAAAGUUAUUGAAAGUAAUGCAAUAACAACAUGCGAGGUUAGCAUAGAACAAAAAAAAUUACCUUGGAGCCACUUUUGCCAAUCACAAAAUCAUUUUCCCCAUUAACCAAAACUGACUCAAGCGUCUGCGAUUCCAGUUUUGCCUUUUCAAUUGCAGCUAGCUCGUCAAGCUUUUCCGGUGUAAAUGGGUAGGCUUCGAUACCAUGUUCUUCGAUUAGUUCAGCUACAUUUGGGUUCAAAGUCUUCCCAUCUUGGCCAAUUAUAACAAGAUUAGGAAUGGUUCUAAGUUCAAAAUACCGCACUAGCUUCUCGCAGCUCUUGUCCUUCAAUGGCAAUGCCAACCAAGGCAUUGUCUCAAAACUCUCUUUGAAGUCUUCUUCUUCGUCGUCUAGAGAUACUAGGACUACUUCAAAGUUCUCUCCUUUUUCCUUGAGCGUCUUAUACAAUUCCACUAGUUUAGGAGUGAAUUCACCGCACAUCCUAUGAGCAUGGACUGAAAAAUACAAGCCAACCAAUUUUCCUUCAAGGUCCAACACAGGGAUCUGCCAUUACAGAUAGCAAAAAUGUGAAUUAUGGCAUCAUCAAUUCAAUUUCAAAACUAGCUAAUUGAAUGAAGCAUCUACCUUUUUUCCAUCAUUUGAAAUCACAUAAUCACGUGAGCUUGAAACCAAGAUAGAGCUUAUGGUUUGAUUCUUCUUAGCAUUCUCUUCUUGCUCUUUAAGGAAAUUCAGUCUAUCAAGGUUGAACGGAUACCCAUCCACGCCAUGUUCCUUGACAGUGCUGACUCCAUUAUCGCAGGAAACCUUACCAUUAGUAUCAAAAAUGACAAGUCUAGGGAUCCCUCUUACUUUGAACAAUUCCUUAAGACGUUGGCGGGUCUCGGUUUCAGAGAAGGGAAUAGCAAGCCAUGGCAUUUCGGAGAAGUACGUGUUGAAGGAUUCAUCGUCUCCAUCAGAAGAAAUGAAGACCACCUCAAAGCCCCCUUUGGAUGAUAGGUGUUCAUAGACUUCUACCAACAAUGGAGUGAAAUUACGGCAUGGGCCGCACCACGAACCAGAGAAAUAGAAUCCCACAAUCUUCCCAACCAAAUCGCUGACCUUGACCUAAAAAUUAAGAUCAGAAAAAAACAUCAGCCCUUGACGAAUCAAAAUCUUAUUCAUGGUUUCUUUCUCUUGCCAGUGAGAGAAGCAACAAAAAAAAGAGCCUUUUCUUAAUCAUAAAAGCUUCAGAAAUUGGUCAUAAAUUUGUUCUUCAGCAAGGCUUGCAGUCUAAUUUAAACAUGAUAUUCAUCUUAAUUACUAGAAAAACCUACAAGUUCAUAUAAAAAAAGACGUCAACUUAUAAUAAGGCAAGAAGAAGUAGACUUGAAUAAGAUCAGAUCGAGGAACUCAUAUGCUAAAAGCAGUACCUGAUCACCAUUGUUGCGGAUGAGAAAGUCCCUCUCUUCUGAAGAAAGAAGCGUUGAAAGGUCGAGGGAAACGUCUUCGGUGGCCAUAGUUAGCUAUGUGAUGAACUACUCAAAAGGCUAGAACAAUUGCCAAUCCCAGUUGCUAUGUAAUGGAACUUCCAGGCUAAGGCUCCUUUAAAUUACCUACACGCCCGGCCUAGGAAAUUAUUGUUCUAAUAAUUCAACGACGACUUCAAGACUUGGCUGGCGUCGGGUGAUGACGAAGACAUUAUGACGUAGGUCUGCUGAAGUGGUAUUCGCAUUAUCACGUGCUUCUACAACUCUCCUCUUGCUUUUUUUUUUUAAUCUCCUUUUUUUGUUUUUGUUUGUAUUCUAGUUUUAUCCAUGGUUUAAUAAUUUUUUUUGUGAGUUUGUUAUUAAAUGUAUUUUGUGUUUUAUCUUUUUAAUAAAAUCUUUAUAUUUCUUGAUACAAAAAAAUCCUUAAUUGGUUUUUUUAAUUAAAAAAUUAUUCUCUUUUGUUUUUGAUGCAUUUGAAAAUGAAUUUUUCUAUCAAUUUUUUUUCUAAUAUAAAUCAAUAAUCAUAUGUAAAGCAUAGUUGAAAUGAAUGAACGAACAAACAAACUAUAUACAUGACAUCUUACAUAGGAAGCUUAGGAAAGGAUGAAGGCCAAGAAUAAUGUAAAAUAAAACCUAUGCCUCCACUACCAAUAAUGUAAAAAUAAUUAUUGAGAAAAAUAAAUCAUAAAAAUAUACUUCCAGCUCUAGUCAUCCAAAGCUUCUUAAGUCUCAGAAAAAAAAAACAUUUAACACAAACCUCAAUAAAAUUCAAAUGCUAAUUAAAUUCAGAUUUUUGUAACGUAGUCUAUUUUCUAUCAAAUGUGACUUGAUAAUAAUCACAUGCAAUUUAAUAGACAGGCUAAAAUCCAAACUUGAUAUAGUUCUUGGGUUAUAAUAGAGUUUUUCAAUAAUAAAACUCUUAACUUUUUUUUUAUUUUAAAAAUAAUGAUAUUGCAUAUAUUUAAUAAUUAUAAAUAAAAUUAUAUUGUGUAUUUGAGCCACGUCAGGACUCUAUUUCAAUAAAGAGACCCUAUUUUUCCAGGGGAGAAAGAAAGAGUUUUUAAAUGCAAUACUUUGUCAUAAGUCGUGACUUUUCCACACUCAAAAGGGCACCAUACAUAUAUGUCAUUAUACUUUAUCUCCAAACGUAAUUAAAUUAGUCAAUUAAUUGUAAGUGAGGGAAGUUAAUGAAUUUCCACUCUAAAAUGUUCAAAUUCAUUAUCCGUUUUCAACUUUAUCCUGAUUAAAUCAGGUUAAGUAGAUUACUUUCUUCAUUCGUGGGUAUCCAUCAGAUAUCCUAAUCUAUUUUUUAAUUAAUUUUAUAAAAAUCAAACCUAAACUAAAAAAACAAAAUAAUGCUUUAUUUAUGAAUCAUAAAACUAUGAAAUUAAAUUAAAUAUAAAACCAAGAGAUCUGGUUAGUUUAGUGUUGUUGCAAUGUGAAUAAAAACUCAAAAUAUCACGGAUUGAAAUAGUGUUCUAGUUAUUUUUUGAAAUUUUUUUCAUUAUAGUUACCAAACACUUUUUAAAAUUUCUUUUAUCUUUGACAUUUCAUUAAUAGAGAAUUUGGACUUAUUGGUUGGUUUUGAUUGGUUUUCUAUAAUUUUUUUUUUGAAAAAUUAAAUGUCAUUAUAUUAGAGUGAUGUUCGAUUUUACAAAAUAGAAUCCUAUUUUAUUGCAUACAAAAAUUUAAGACUUAGGGGGGCCAAAAUUGAUAGUUAGCAAUGUUAAAGAAUCAUCUUAACCCAAUAGCUUAAGUUUUCAAGUGACGUUCCAAGAUAUGAUUUAUACUAUUCUCUAACACAUCCCCUCAAGUAAAAGCUCUUUGGUCUUGAAAUUUGCACAGACUCACAUUAUUUUGUGCUUAAUUUUUAUCAAAUAAAUAGGGAUGGUGAGAUUCGAACUCGUGACCGCUUGGUUAUCAAGGCUCUGAUACCAUGUCAAAGAACCUUCUCAACCCAAUAGCUUAAGCUUUCAUGUGAGGUCCCAGAAUAUAAUUUAUAUUAUUCUCUAACAAGUAAGAAUUUAAGGUUUUUUUAUUUGAUAAAUGUUCAUUUCACAUCAUUUUACUUUGAAAAAUUUAUAUUUUGAUCCAAAACUCUAUUUUAAUCACAUUUCAGACUAUGAGUUUUAGAAAAAAGAUAAAAAUUCAUUAAAAAUAGCGAAAGAGAGAGAAACACAUACACUGACAAGGUUUUGUUUGUGAAAAUAGCUUAAAUGUGUGUCAAUGUGUUAUUCUUGACAAAAAGAGUGCUACUAUAAUGUUUUUAAGCUUUAUAUUGUCAAAAAAGAUAAAUCGAGGUUGAGAGAAUUAUUUUUAAGUUAAACUUUGUGUUUUAAAAUUAUUUUAGAGUUUCUUUUUAGUUGAUGGAUUAGUUUAGAGACAAUUUAAAAGUAUUUAUAAGAUGUUUUUAAAUAAAAAUAUAUUAAAAAAUAGAAUUUUAAAUAAAAAACUCCAACCCAAUUCUUUAACCACUUCUCUAUUAUAAAAAAAAUAUAAAGCAAAUGAUGUGACAAAAAAAUAAAUCAAGCAAAUGAUUGUCAUUUGUUUUAUUAAAAAAAAAAAUAAAGGACAAAUACUAUGUCAUCCAUCAAAGAUAAAAUAAAAUGGCUCUUUCAUCUUUUGGAUAAGCAUGCCGAGUCACUUGGCCCCACAAACAUGGCUUGUUUCUAGCUUCUUUUUUUUUUUUUAUGAAUCUUUAUCCUUGAAUUUUAAUUUUAUUUCAUUAAAAUUAAUUAUUUAAAAACACAUAAGGAUAUUAUUUUAGUAAAUACUUGAAUUAUUAAGAAUAUAUACGAAAUAUUAUUUUAUUAGAUAUCAUUUAAUUUUUAUUUUAUUUUAAAAUAAAAUUAUAAUAUUCAUUAUAUAAUAUUAGUAAGAGAUGUUUUUUGGACAACCUAUCAUGAUAUUCCUUAUCUUUGCACAUUCGGUGUCAGAGACUAUAAUAAUAGAUUCCAUGGAAAACAUUAAGGGUAAGAUUCAAUUAUUAAAUGAUAAUCGACUAAAAUAGUGUUUGGAGCCGAUCUGUAUUUUUUAAAAAUUCAAAAUUAUUUUUAUUAAAAAUUAAUUUUUUUUUAUAUUUUGGAUCGUUUUGAUGAGCUGAUUUCAAAAAUAAUUUAAAAAAAUAUCAUUUUGAUGCAUUUCAGAAUAAAAAAUACUUUGAAAAGCAAUCGUCACCAUACUCCCAAACAAGAAUUAAGAACAUGUUUAAAAAUGUAGUAGAUGAUGAGUUUUAAAAUAUUUUUUACUCGAAAAUAUAUUAAAAAAUAUAUAUAUUUUUUAAUUUUUUAAAAUUUAUUUUUAACAUCAAUACAUUAAGACAAUUCAAAAACACUAUAAAAAAAAAUAAAUUUUAAACAAAUAAUACUUUGCCCCAUUUAACUAUAAACAAAAUCAUCGUAUUCUUAAUCUAUUUGUCACAUCAUGAAACAUGAUGAUCAUUAACUGGCAAACACAACACCAACACCAUUACGUAGAAAUCAAGUAUGAAGGGCUCGUAAAUCUAGUCGAUAUAUGUAUAAAUUAGCCCGAACAUUCACAUUAAUAAAAACAAAAAAUCAUGUGUGACACUUAAAAUUUAUCAUAACAAAUUGAUCAAAUUAUAAAGUAAUCCCUAUAUUUUUAAGAAAUUAAUAGCUCACUCCCUUUUUUUAAAAUAAGCCAUAUUUUACCUCCAUGUUAUCAUUUCCAUUUACUGUAACUUAGUUCUUCCUUUAGUUUUACAUUAUAAAAGUGCUAAACCAUUACUUUAGGUAUUAGUGAAAAAAAAAAAAAAGUAUCUAUUAACGGAUUGACGGUCAAAGCUUCUCAAUUGAGUAACUUUUUGGUUUUUAAAAACAGAAGGACUAACAUAUUGGUUUAUUGAGAAUAUGAGGAUUCAAUUAUAAUUUACUUCAGGAAACAAAUAUGAUGCUAUUGACAUCCCCACAAGUGAACUGGCACAAUUAUUGUUUAUAUAAAAUUUCAAAAUUAUUUAUUCUUAAUUUUAACAUUUUAUUUUUAAAAUUUUAUUGUAAUGAAGUGACAGAGUAUGCUAAGAGUAUACCAAAAUAAAACACUGUUGUUUUAAUAUAAAAAUUAAUUUACAGGUUGACUGGAUAGCCUUAUAACCUAGAUGUUUUUCGAAGUUAGUUUUGAAUGAAUGGAGUGUUAUUAGUUAGUUCAGCGUGAUAAUUGGACUGAAAAUCUUUCGUUCUAAAUUAUCAACCAUUCAGAAUUGUUUUGUGCGUGAGGAUGCCAAAUUACCAAAACUAAACCCUAUUUAUAAUCCAUCACCUAUCAAUAGUGAUGUAAGAGUUCCAGCUUGUUUUCUGCAGCUGUGCCAAAACCUGGAGGGUCUAUACUAGCCCAGCAGUCCUUCCCCCGUCGUAAGGUAAGAGCCCAGCACCAGCAGUGUCCUUCCUCCGUCGUAGAGGGGUCCAUACACGAGAUGGCCAGAGAUAGUCAGUGAUUUCGAAAUAUUCCUUUUCAGACUGCAACAAUUGAUAAGGUUUUGUGGCUGUCAUGGCGAAGGCAAAUUAAAGCACAUGAGAUUCAGUGGUGAGAAGCUAUGGAAAGUGGCAAAAAGAAACAGCGAGAACAUGAAACACGCAUUUGAACAUGAAAAAGUAAAUAAGCUGAACAUAAUUAAUGGGCCAUAGAAGCGAAGGUUUUUUCAAUGGCUUCAAACUUUUUGGCAGCGUGCUUGAUUGUUGUCGCCGAAUUUCUUGGCAGUGUGCUUGCUUGAAUUGCGGAUGUAUCACAUGGAUGAUAUUUUCGUUCUUUUGAGGCAUCAAAUAAUAUGGUGUCACGAGAAUUAAGCAAAUAGAAAAGCAUUAAAUUUACGGAAAUCUUUUCCUGUGGUCUUGGUGUAGUUGUUGGCUUUGCUAGCUUCUCCAAGCUCACCACUAAUCCUAUCUGUCCUUUGCGUCCCAUGAACUGAUACAAGCAAUAGCCUGCCCGUGAUUCUGGUUUAAUUGAUUGCAGACAUGUUCAUCAACAAACGCAGGUGUCCGCCCUCCAAAUAACUGCCAUGAACCCAGUUUCCACCUGCUGGGAUUUCAUUUGUCUUUCUUAGUUCUGAGUUCGAAUUAAUGCUGCUUUCUUGAUUCUGAAAUCCGCCUCAACAAGUUAUUUGAGAAGGCAAAGAGGGGGGAAAAUGACUAUCCAGUUGCUUGGAUUGGAAAUUCUAGUUUCUUUUACGGUGGAGUUACAAUGGUUUCAUUGUAUAAUGCUGGUUAAGUCACAAUCAGCCCAGUUUUUGUAUUUAAUCAGCAUUACAAUUACAGGAAUAUUUGCUCAAAUGGGUCACAGGAUUCACAAAAACACAGAGAGCUGUUUAUUUAUUUUUCGUAUCCAAAUACAGGACAUGAAAACCCUUUCAGCCUCACACUUCUUAGAUACAUAACGACAUCAGGAGAGACAUCCCCACUAUAUUCACACACAUGCAACAAACAUCUUCCAUUGCAUACUCACUACAGCAGAAAGCCCAUAAAACCAGACACAAGCAGCGCUUGCCUGCUUAAGCUCUGCGGCACACAUCUCCAUCGCAGACCCAUCCUUCCUUUCCCUUUUCAGUUCCAGUAUCUUCAUCUUCCUUCAAAGCACACUUAGGGUGAAGAUCAAAGUCACAUUGUUUGCAAUAGAAAGACCACCUAUAUCCCGUUUCCCCACAGCCAUCGCAACCGUAUGCACUGCGUUUAGUACGUAUCAGCUCAUGCUCAGUAUGAAGUUCGUGUUUCACUUUCUCUGGCCACCCCUUUGCCUUUUCCUCAAGCUCCUCCUCCAAUUGCUUUAGAUGUUCCUCGGUAAAUGGAAAAGCAUCUGCCCCGUAAGCUGUCAAGUGCAUCCGAGCUUCCUUGGUAAUGGUCCGGCCACUUGGGCCAAUCGCUACAGCUGCAGGAAUGCCUUGAAUUUUGAAUUUCCGACUCAGGAUUUGUUUCCUUCCAUCACCAAAUGGAAGGGCUAACCAAGGCAUUUCUGAAUAGAACUCGUCAAAGGUGGAUUGAUCUCUGUCGCUUGAGAUGAAGAUCACCUCAAAUGCAUUGUCUUUUCUUUUAAUUGUGUGGUAUGCUUCAAUUAGCUUGGGUAAAAAGGCACGACAUGGAGGGCACCAUUGAGCUGAGAAGUAAAGAAGAAUGUUCUUUCCAACUAGUUCAGACACUGGGACCUAAUCAAGAGCAAACCAUUUGUAUAAUAUAAAAAACCUUAGCUAAUGAAUUCAAUUCGUGAUAAUAAGAAAGUUAUUGAAAGUAAUGCAAUAACAACAUGCGAGGUUAGCAUAGAACAAAAAACAUUACCUUGGAGCCACUUUUGUCAAUCACAAAAUCAUUUUCCCCAUUAACCAAAACUGACUCAAGCGUCUGCGAUUCCAGUUUUGCCUUUUCAAUUGCAGCUAGCUCGUCAAGCUUUUCCGGUGUAAAUGGGUAGGCUUCAAUACCAUGUUCUUCGAUUAGUUCAGCUACAUAUGGGUUCAAAGUCUUCCCAUCUUGGCCAAUUAUGACAAGAUUAGGAAUGGUUCUAAGUUCAAAAUACCGCACUAGCUUCUCGCAGCUCUUGUCCUUAAAAGGCAAUGCCAACCAAGGCAUUGUCUCAAAACUCUCUUUGAAGUCUUCUUCUUCGUCGUCUAGAGAUAUUAGGACUACUUCGAAGUUCUCUCCUUUUUCCUUGAGCGUCUUAUACAGUUCCACUAGUUUAGGAGUGAAUUCACGGCACAUCCUAUGAGCAUGGGCUGAAAAAUACAAGCCAACCAAUUUUCCUUCAAGGUCCAACACAGGGAUCUGCCAUUACAGAUAGCAAAAAUGUGAAUUAUGGCAUCAUCAAUUCAAUUUCAAAACUAGCUAAUUGAAUGAAACAUCUACCUUUUUUCCAUCAUUUGAAAUCACAUAAUCACGUGAGCUGGAAACCAAGAUAGAGCUUAUGGUUUGAUUCUUCUUAGCAUUCUCUUCUUGCUCUUUCAGGAAAUUCAGUCUAUCAAGGUUGAACGGAUACCCAUCCACGCCAUGUUCCUUGACAUGUCUAACUCCAUUAUCGGAGGAAACCUUACCAUUAGUAUCAAAAAUGACAAGCCUAGGGAUCCCUCUUACUUUGAACACUUCCUUAAGACGUUGGCGGGUCUCCGUAUCAGAGAAGGGAAUAGCAAGCCAAGGCAUUUCGGAGAAGUAUGUAUUGAAGGAUUCAUCGUCUCCGUCAGAAGAAAUGAAGACCACCUCAAAUCCCCCUUUGGAUGAUAGUUGUUCAUAGACUUCUACCAACAGUGGAGUGAAAUUACGGCAUGGGCCGCACCACGAACCAGAGAAAUAGAAUCCCACAAUCUUCCCAACCAAAUUACUGACCUUAACCUAAAAAUUAGUGUCGAGCAUAAUCAGAAAAAAAACAUUAGCCCAUAAAUUAAGAGGGUAAACAAAAACUGAGGCUUUUCUUAAUCAUAAAAGCUCUAGAAAUUGGUCAUAAACUUGUUCUUCAGCAAGGGUCGCACUCUAAUUUAAACAUGAUAUCCAUCUUAAUUACGAGAAAAAGUUUAAUAAGACAAGUAGAAGUAGAUCGCAUAAGACCAGAGAAAUCCAUAAGCUAAAAGCAGUACCUGGUCACCAUUGUUGCGGAUGAGAAAGUCCCUCUCUUCCGACGAAAGAAGGGAUGAAAGGUCGUGCGAAACGUCUUCGUUGGCCAUUGUUAAGUGAUGAACUACUCAAAAUGCUAUAACAAUUGCCGAUUCCAAACGCUAUUUAUUGGGACAAACUGGGAUGGUUCCUUCUAAGUUACUUGCACAGCACGCCGAGUGAACUAUCAGACGUCAACGAUGACAUGUAAAUUUGGAUGGUGAUGACAAAAACAUCAUUCUCCUUAUCUAAAUACCAGCAGGUUCGAGAAACUGGUAUUAAACAUGCUUUCCCACGUGCAACACACCUCCUCUGGCUUUUUUUAUUUAAAAAGAAAAAGAAAAAGAAAAAGAAAAAGAAAAAGAAAAAACAUAUAUUUUUUUUAAUUUCUCUCUCUUUUAUUUUUUUAGUCACUCUUCACUUUUUACCUUUUUUUUUUUUUUCAAGAAUCUGAAUUCUAGGUUUCUUCUUUAAUUAUAAAAAACCUCUUAUGAUUUGAUUAUGUGAAAUUAUACUUUAUAUUUUUUAUCAAAUAAAUUUUUUUAAAUUGAUAAAAUAUCCAAAUUGUCUUUAUCUAUAAUAUAUGAGAAAAUCAAUUGAAUAAUAGAUCAUAUACUCACACUCUCUUUCUUGUCCUACUUUCUCUCUCUACAAAUCAUAUUCUCUCCCUUCUUUGACAACUAUUAUCAUAAUUUGUUUAAUCGGUCUGUUUUUUGUUCUCGUUUUGUGGGGAGUUCCUUCCUUUUCAUGUUUAGAACUCGACGAAGUUGGAAUCUUUUUCAUUGUUGUUAGUCCAAAGAUCACUAUUACAUAUGGUUUUAGUAAUUUUAAUGAUCACAACAAUUUAGUGAAUUUAAUAUGUAUAUGAAGAUUUGAUAUUAUAAGGAUUUUUCUACUAUGUCAAAUUAGAGCAAAAUAGAUUCUUUGGAUGUAAACUUAACUUUGGAUGCCUAAACUUAGAGUUAUGUAAUCAAGUCUUUACAUAAUUUAAUUUUUCACACAAAAAUGAUUUUUAUCCAAAAAGAUUCUUUAUUAUUGAAUUUUUACAUAUUGAAAAAUAGUUUACGAGAAAAUCUUUCAUAAAAUAUUUCAGAUUGUUACUAAAUUUUUUUUAGAAUGAAAAGUAUAAACUUAAUUAAAUGAUUUCUUGUGUUUUGAUCACACUAAACAUUUCUUGUUCAUUUUCAACUAAGUGGGUAGCUAAGUGAGUUGUGACUUUUCCAUACUCAAAAGUGCAUAAUACAACUAUGUCAUUCUACUUUGCUAAACACACCAAGCAUGUUUAAAUUUCUCAUUUAGCAAUAAUCAAUGGAAGGUAAUAAAAUAAGUUGGAUUUGAGUUUUACUUAAUUGUUCCAUCUAAAACAUCCAAAUUCAUUAUCCAACUCUGACCUAAUUAAAUUAGGUUAAAUCGGGGAUGAAAAAGUUUUUUUUUCAAGUUAAAUUUUAUGUUUUAAAACCAGUUUAGGAGUUUUUUGAGUUGACAGUAGGGGUUUUUUUUUGUUCGGUUUGGUUUUGGGAAAAAAAAAGAUAACUUCAUUGAAAUUUACUUUUUUAAGGUUUUCAACCCGAAAUCAGUUCAAAGCUAUCGGGUGCGGCUUGGUUCAGUCUUUUUUGUUUCAAAACUUGUUCAGAUCGACAUUAUUUCAAUUGAGAGUUUUUAUAAGCCUCGCUUUUUAGGUUUUUAUUACAAUGGAUCCAAGUUAUUUUUACUAUUUUUGGGUUUUUCAAGAUUUGUUUUGAAUUUUUUCAUAAAAGGUUUGAGUUGUUUUAUUACAAAGGCUUUUCAUGCCUAUAAAUAAUUAUAUGAAUUUUUACUUCAAUAUAAACAUACAUAGUUGAUGCGAAUUCGGAGAGUAAAACCCCUUGAACCCUCACACAAGAAAAAAAAUCCAAGAAAGCUAAAAUCAAGUUGAAAAGAACCCAACCUAGUGGUUAUCUAAACUAAAGAAUCAUAGUUAUUGGAUGAAAAAACUUAACCCAAUAAUUAUAAUGAACCACUAACUAAAGGUAUAAGGAUGAAACCCCAACCCGUUAAAUAUUGUAAUAAAUAACGAACUAAGAACUAUAGGUGUAAGGAUGGAUAUCAUAAAGAGAGUUGAUCUUUGAUAAGUUUUUUAAAAAGUUCCAUGAGGAACCAAGAGUAUAAGUAAACUCUUUCACACACAAUAAUAUUCUGAAUAAUCAAUCCGUCUCAAAUUAUUAAAAAAAACUAAAUAUAAGUUAAAUAACCAUAUUUAUACUAGGUAAAAUAAAAAAUGCUAAAAAAAUAACAAAAGAGUUCUAAAUGAAAUAGAAGAAAGAAUUCUAAAUUAAUUGAGAAACUAAUGCAAUUCUUGUAUAGUAGCUUUUGAUCUUUAUCGUAAGGCCUUAUCAAUAUUUAAUUGCUAUUAUAUUUCAACUCCAUAUAAAACAAGGAUUUUAGAAUCAUUAAGAAAAUUUGAAGCCCAAUCCACAUGUAAGCAGGAAAAUAAGUUGAAUCCGUAAGUCCUAUAGAAAAUAAAACUCAAAUAUCUUGAAAUAAUCACUAAAUAUUUCUUUAACCUUCUUAGCUCAUAACCUGGCACAUGUAAUUAAUCAUAUGGUAUUGCUUGAUGGUUUUAACAACAAUGCUUCAAUUCAUCCAAAUUAAUAACAAAAAAAGUAAAUGAAAUCUAAAAAGCUACUCUCCAUGAAAAGAUGACAAAAAAAGCUUUCAUCAAAAUCUUAACCAUCUCAUAAUUAUCACUCAUAAAUUAUCACAACAAGUAGCUCCCUAGUUUUCAAUAUUCGUAAUUAAUGAGUCAAUAUUCGUAAUUAUCACUCAUAAAUUAUCACUCAUGGUUUAUAAGGUGUUUUAUAGGUGUUUUGGGUCAAAACAGGUUUUUAGGUCAAAUGAGCAUAAACUCUGAUUUUCCGACAACCACAAUGGCUAGAACCUGGGCAAAACAGGUGUACAUGACUGUCACACCCAAGAGCAUUAAUUGGGUUUGGCAGUCAUGCCAAAUCCAAGGCACUUGGGGCAAGCAGUCAUAAAAGACUUAAGCGUCUUGGGUCAGGCAAGGAUUGAGUCUGACAGCGUUACCCUUGGGUCUGACAUGGUUGCCUGCCUAAGCACCUUGGGUCAGGCAUGGAUUGAGUGUGGCAGGCAAGCCAGACCCAAUCCAUGGGUUUGGUAUGGUUGCCAUCAUAGUUAUCAGACUCGGCUUGACCCUGCAGGUCAACUCAGGACCCGGGUGACCUAGGGCCUUAGCUAGGUAUAUUUCAUUUAAAAUUCAGGCCUGCAAUUGACCUAGAUAAAACCGGUCAUCUUGUCGGAUUAACCCAGAACUCGGGUGACCCAGUAAAACCCGGUAAAGACCUGUUUUUUUUUUUUCAAAUAUAUUUUUUCUCUUAGCCAGAGACCCAUUUUUUUUUAUAUUUUUUAGUUGUUUAUAACUCAUUUCAAAGUUCACUAUAUAAAUACUAGAAGAAUGUUUUUAUUUUUUCAAAGUAAGUUUUGAAGCCCUUUAGUAUAUAUAUUCUAUGUUCACAAUAAAAGGUUAUGUUUUUUCAAUGUGGGAUAAAAAACCUUUUUGAUUUAAAUAUUUCAACUUAAAAUAAUAUGAUAGUAUCUUGCAAAUGUGGGAUAAAAAACCUUUUAAAAUAACAUUUUAAACUUAAUUAUUUACAACAUGUAUAACCCAUAUCCACAUAGAUUAUUUCUUAAUUUUUUUCAUAUGAAAUAUUAAAACCUCAAAUAUUAUUUUAAAAUUUUUCUAAAUUGACCCGAGUCAGCCCGUGUAACCUGGGUCUCGGCUCCUGGGCCGGGUCAACCCUUGGGCCGAGUUUGAUAAUUAUGGAUGCAAUAAAAAUAUAACUUCAAAGAAUACAAUUAAAAAAAAAUAAAGUGACGUGACCGGUUAAAAAAAUAAAAACUGAAAAAAUGCAUAGAACCUCUUUUUUUUUUUUUGUUCAAGGAGCCUCUUUUAAAUAAUAUUGAUUUUUUUGUUACGUGUUUAAUUUUCGGAAUAGUUUUUUUGGUUCAUCUAUAGUUUUGUUUUUAUUUUUUAUAUAGAUAAACUGUGUUUUUGAAAAUAAAAAAUGUUUAUUUUUAGAUGAUAUUUUUAAUAUGAGUAGUUUUACAUGUUAUUUUUUUUAAAAAAAUUAUUCAAUUAAUUUAAUGUCUUAUUUUUCAAGAUUCAAUAUAUUGAUCUACAUUUGUCUCUCGGUUUUCUAAGUUUUGUUUUAAGAUGUCAUUAAUGAUUUUUUAUUGAUUUAUUAGCGCACGUAAUUCUUAGUUUAUUUGAUUACUUGUGUGCAUCAACUUUUUGAUUUAUUAUAUUUUUUGAAGUAUCAAAAUGCAUUGAAAAAACCUGCAUAAAUAAUGUUUUAUGAAAAAUAAAAAUAUCUAACUUGCAGUGAAGCACAUGACACGUAGCUAGCAAGUUCUAUAAAAUGAGUUAGCAAAGUAGAAAACAAACUUGUAAUAGAUUUGUGCACAUUGCCAUUUCACCAUAAGUUACAUUAGCUCUCAAAACUUUUACAUUAGCUCUCAAAACUUUUACAUUGAAACUUAUAAUACUAGAACUAACAAAACAUACUAGCAGAAAUAUAGUAAGCUUGCAACAAAAUAAGAAUCAAGACAUCAAAUUUCCUUUGUGCCUUUGAAACAUAAAAUGUAAAUUAUUAGGGCACAAUUAAUAAUAACUUAUAGGAAAUAAUUAAUCUACAUCAAAUAUGCUAAAUAACAUAAAUCAACUUUGUCAAACAUAAUUAUUGUGAACAUUGAUUUUUUUUUUAGCCCUGUUUGUUUCAUGAAAAAUGGUUUUUUAGAAAUUAUUUUCCAAACUUUUCUGUGUUUGUUUGUCAUUAGAAAAAUUGAUCAACGAAAAACACUUUACAAUAAAAGAAAAAUUUAGCUUGGUUUCUAGGAAAUUAUUUUCCUUUUAUUUUAGGUGGAAAAUACUUUUUAGAAGUUGUGAAAAUUUAGAAAUGUCUUGUUAUAUGCUGAUUAUAUCAAAUUUGAUCCUCAAACUUUUAAUUGUUAUAUAUUUUGUUUUGAUUUUUUUCUUUCAAUUUCAACCCUUAGAAUUUGAUUUAAUUUGAUUUUUAUAUCAAUCUUGGUCUUUAUUUUUAUAAUUGUUAUUUGCUUUUCUCUUAUCAUUUUUAAUUGAAAUUUUUUUAUCUAUCAAAUCUGGUCCUCAUUCUUUUGAUUGUUAUUUACUUUAUUUGAAAUAAUUUUUAAAAUUGUAAUUUUUUUUAAUUUCAUCCUCUUUCAACUUUUUUAUUUGUUAGAUUUGAUCUCUAUUAUUUUUAUUGUUAUUUAUUUUAUUUGAGAUAUUUUAUGAAAUUAGAUUUUUUUUUAAUUUUAUUAUCAUUCAACUUUUUAAUUUGUAAGAUUUGUUCCUUAUUAUUUUAAUAAACUUGAAAAAAAAUUAACAAUUUAUUUUUCAGUUUAUUUUUUAUGACAUAGUCAAAUACUUAAAAAUAUUUUUUAAUAUAUUUUUUAUGAUAUUAUCAAAUAUCAAAAUAUAAUUUACUUUUUAAAAAUUUAAUUUUCAAGAAAAUUACCUUUUUUAAAAAAUAUAUGUUUUUAGCAAACAAAAGGGUUAAUGUUAAUUUUUUUAUAUAUGACAUGGGGUAGAGUGCAAGCCAGCUAGCCGGAUAGUCUUUGGUGGAUAUUCUUUAGGACUUGGAGGGAAUAAACACAAAAGGUACGAUUUUUUUUAGAUGGAAAUCUGAGCUUUAUUGACCAUAUAUGUCUUGCCAGGUGGCUUCUUGUCUUUCCUUAACUGUCAUGUCUCAUUUGAUAAUUAGGAAUUCCUGGCAGGGCUGCUUUAUUUUAUUGUUAUAUUAGUUUGGUUUUGUGUUUUUUUAAUGAAGUUGGUGGGUCCAGAAACACUCAUUUGGAUUUUAUAUAUAUAUAUAUAUAUAUAUAUAUAUAUAUAUAUAUAUAUAUAUAUAUAUAUAUAUAUAUAUAAUUAACUAUAAACUUGCACAAUUAUUUUACUAUAUAUUAAAACAUUUGAAAAAAACACGGUAGAAAUACUAUAGAUUUACUGUAAACAAAGACACAUUGCCCUGUGGAAGAAACUGUGUCAUAGAGUAUUUGCACUGUGGACAACACUGUUGUACCAUGGGGCAUUCCUUUCCUUUGUUUUUAGUCAAUAAUUACGGGUGGGGGUGUGACCUUCUCUACCAAAAGCCGCUGGGUUUGACUUUGGUAGCCGGACCCAACGCUGUUGUGUUUGGUUGACAAGUUAGACCUAAAACACUUCCAAAACAUGCCAAUAAUGUUGAGUCCUGCAUUCCAGCCAAACCCAACAGAGUAUUUGACUGUGAACACAUAAUGUUCGACUGUGGACGACACUGUAGCGCCUGUGGGGGGGCGUUGUCUUUUCUGUUUGUAAGUCAGAAAGGCUUGCUGGGUCGUUGCAGCAGGACCUAAUAGCUUUGGGUCCUGCUUCCACUAGGACCUAAUGGCGUUGGGUCUUGCUGGAACCAUUAGAGUUGGGUCCUGCCUCAAUAGGACCCAUGACUAUAAUUUUUUCCCUUUUUCAUACGGGUAUGGCUGCGUAGCCAGACCCAGCAGCCAUACCCAAUUAAAUUUCUUGGCCGUUGUCUUCUUUGAUUUAAAUUUAUUUUUCAAAAUAAAUUGAUUGUACUGUGGACAACACUAUAGCAUUUUCCCAGAUCAAUCCUAGCUUUAUCAUCUACACACGCACGCACAUGCACUUUUUUCCUUUUUUGACAAGGAAUUAAAGUUAAUCAAUGCAAGAAAGUAGUAAGAUCACUGACAUCGGCAUAGGAAGAUUGUAAAAAAAAAAUUGAUUUCCUUCGGUGGAUGGAUUGGGAAUCCAUAUUAUCACGUACGUGAGAAUUCAAUCCCCCAUGCCUCUCUAUGCCUAUGUACAUCGUAAAUAUAUACAUUUUCUUCACUAUAGUAUAACACCACCAUUGAAUAUAAUGGAAGACCAUUGAUCAAUAAGGACGACUGGCUUCCAGACCUGGAGCCAUACCUAAUUAAAUUUCUUUGUUGUUGCCUUCUUUGACUUAAAUUUAUUUCUCAAAAUAAAUUGAUGAAUUUUUUUUUAUAUUGUAUAAAAGUUAGGUGAUGAUAAUUUUUUUCCCCAUUUCAGAUUGGGUUGAAUUUCCUAAUUAAAUCAUGUUUGAUUUUGCGUUUCGAAAAUUCUUUGAAAAAAAUUUGACAAUUUUUAAGUUUUUUUCUUUGCUUCAAAUUAAUAUUUUUGUUAUGUUUUUGUAUUUUUUUUAAAAUAUAUAUGUUGAGAUUUUGUCUAGCUGCGACGCCAAACCCAAUAAAUUUUUUUAUUUUUUUUACUUCAAAAUAAUAUUUUCUUCAUGUUUUUGUAUUAUUUUUAAAUAAUUUUUUUUAAAAAAAAUAUUGAGAUUGUAGACGGUUGAGAGGUGAGAAACAAGAAAUUUAAAAAAUUUUAAUUUUUUUCUUUACUUUAAAUUAAUAUUCUUUCGAUAUUUUUGUAUUAUUUUUAAAAAAAUUAUACUGAAAUUAGAUCUGAUUGCGUUGUAUCCUGCCUUCCAGCAUGACCCAAAAAUGUUGGCCCCCUACUUGCAGGAGGACCCAAUGCUUAAUUGGGCCCUACUGCCUCCAUGCCCAACAUCGUUGGGGGCUUUUGCAACCAGGAUCCAAUUACGGUGGGCUCGGCCUCCUAGCAGGACCCAAUAUGCGUUGCCAGCAUGGGUGAUUAGGUCCUUUCCGCUAAGGGAACUUGAUUGUGCAGCAGGCAUCGAAAACACAAGCUCAGUAGCAAUUCAUUUUAGCAACUAAACAGGCUAUAAACAAGCCUAUAAGCCCUUUUUUCUUUGAAAGAGAGAGAUUCAUACUUAUCAAUAUUACAAGGGAAAGAAAAGCUCUGAAACUGAAAAGGGAUAUCCUGAUUUCAUUGCCUACUUGAUUGCUUUCUAAAUAGGAUGUGCAUUUCUCCUAGAACCAGCUGGCUUACGGGCUUACAAGGAACCAAAAAUACUUGGAAGUCACACUUUAAUAGGCACUGAAAUUAGAUUUCUUUGAUUUAAAUUCAUUUUUCCAAAUAAAUUGAUGGGACUUUUAUUAUAUUGACCAAAACUUGAGUGAUGAUUUUUUUUUUCGUUUCAGGUUGGGUUGAAUUUUCUAAUUAAAUUAUGUUUGAUUUUGCGUUUCAAAAAUUCUUUUAAAAAAAUUUGAUAAUUUUUAAUUUUUUUCUUUACUUCAAAUUAAUAUUUUUUUUUAUGUUUUUGUAUUAUUUUUUUUAAAAAAAUAUGUUGAGAUUGUCUCUGACUCGAAGCCCGACCCAAGAAAUUUUAAAAUUUUAAUUUUUUUCUUUACUUCAAAAUAAUAUUUUUUAUAUAUAUUUUUGUAGUAUUUUUAAAAUAUAUUUUCUAAAAAAAUAUAUUGAGAUUGUGUCUGGAUGAGAGGGAAGACCCAAGAAAUUUAAUUUUUUUUCUUUACAUCAAAUUAAUAUUCUUUUGAUACUUUUGUAUUAUGUUUUCAAAUAUUAUUUAAAAAAAUAUGCUAAGAUUAAGUCUAGCUGUGUCACCAGACCCGUGGCAGUAGUGGGCCCUACCUAUAAGCAGGACCCACCGCUACUGGGUCCUUCUCCCAAGCAUGACCCAAUGAUGUUGGGCCAUGCUGCCCAGCAGCGGUGGGCCGUCCUCCAAGACCCAUUAGCUUUGGGUCCUGCAGCCAGCAUGACCCAUCAAAAAGCAUUGGGUCCUGCUGGGGGCAGGACCCAGUAAACCAAUAUUGUAAUGUGUUUUUCCUUUCUCUUAUUUUUUUUCAUAGGGUAAAGAGGAAAUAUUAUUAUUAUAUUAUUGUUAUUGUUAUUAUUAAUAAAUUCAAAGAAAAAAAAAUUAUUACGAUCGAAGAAAAAACAUAAAUUUUAUUUAAAGAGAUUAAAAAAUAUAAAAACUUGGGUUAGACAAGUUUAACAUUAUUAUUAAUAUUACAAAUAUUAUUAUUUGUAUUAUAAAUAUUAUUAUUUUUAUUACAGGUAAUAUUAUUAAUAUAAUAAUUAAUAAAUUUGAAAACAAAUAUCAUUAAUAUUGAAAAAUAACCAUUGAUUUGAUUUGAAAGUUAAAAUUAAAAAUCAUUUUUAUUUUUAUUAAGUUGGGUUUGACAUCCCCUUCUAAACCCGAGAAACUUGGGGCAGGAAAGGGACACAUGAUCGAAGUUGCUUGGGAGAGGCAGGAGCGCGGAUCCAAGUCCCUCGGAUCUUGCAGCCGCGCCUGACCCAACAUACUUGGGUUAGACGUUUGGAGCCAAGCUUGGAUCUGGCUGCAACGCUAGACCCAAGAGCGUUGGGUCUAGCCGAAAGGACGGACCCCAAGCUCAGGGGUCUUCCUUUUUAAACAGACCCAAUGCUCUUGUGAGCAGGACCCACUAAAGUUGGAACAUGCUGCCACCAGAACCUAGCAGCGGUGGCCCUGCUGCCAGCCUCCCCUGCCCAGCACGACCCAACGUUGUUGGGUCCUUCAAUCAAGCAUGACCUAAUGAUGUUAGGCCCAAAUGGGUACCCAGCUGCUAGGUCAUUUUGUCGAGCAUGAUCCAAUGAUGUUGUAACUUUAAUGGGUUCGGAUUGAAGUUAGACUCAAUGCUCUUGGAUCCGACAUUUAUAAGGGGUGCAAAGCUCUUGGGCCCGACAUUUAUAAAGGGUGCAAAGCUCUUGGGCCUGAUGUUGCAGACAGACCCACUUACUCUUUGAUAAGUUUAAUAUUGAUAUGAAUAUUAAAAAUAUUAUUAUUUGUAUUAGGAAUAUUAUUAUUAUUUUUAUUAUAAUUAACAUAGUAAUUAACAAAUUUGAAAAACAAAUUUUAUAUUGAAAAACAACUUACAAAUUUAAUAAAGGGUAAACUUAAAAAUUAUUAUUAUUAUUAUCAUCAUCAUCAUCAUCAUCAUCAUUAUUAUCAUUAAAUGUUUUUAAAAAAUGGAAGAAAAACCAUAAUUGUUUUGUGAAUAGAUUAAAAAAAAAUAAAAACUUGGGUCAGACAAGUUAUAUAUUAUUAUUAAUAUUAUUAUAAAUAUAUAUUUUUAAAAAAAUAUAUUAAGAUUGUGUAUGGCUGAGAGGUGAGACUCAAGAAAUUUUAAAAUUUUUAUUUUUUUCUUUACUUCAAAUUAAUAUUCUUUUCAUAUUUUUGUAUUUUUUCUAAAAAAUUAUACUUAUUAUAUAUUAUAUUAUAUAUGUAUAUAUUUUUAUUUACUAUAUUAAAACGCGUUAUCUUUGUUGUUUGUGAGUAAAAAAUUACAGCUGGGUUGAUGGAUCCUGCUAUCACUAGGAUCCAAUAGCGUGAGGUCCUGUUGCGAGCAGGAUCCCAUUGGCGUGAGGUUCUGUUGCCAGCAGGAUCCCAUGGUGUUGGGUCCUCUAGGCCCCAUUAGUGUUGGGUUGGGUCCUCUAGGCCCCAUUAGUGUUGGGUCCUGCAAGACCCAUCAGCUUUGGGUCCUUCGGCAAGCAAGACCCAUCAAAAAAUAUUGGUCCUGCCACUAGUAGAACCCAAUACUACAAUGUGUUUUUUUUUUCUUCUAUUUUUUUUUCUCAAAGGGUAAAGAGGAAAUAUUAUUAUUAUAUUAUUCUUAUUGUUAUUUUUAUCAUUAAUAAAUUCAAAGGAAAAAAAAUUAUUACUAUUGAAGAAAAACCAUAAAUUUUAUUUGAAGAGAUUAAAAAAUAUAAAAACUUGGGUCAGGCAAGUUUAACAUUAUUAUUAAUAUUCUAAAUAUUAUUAUUUUUAUUAUAAUUAAUAUUAUUAAUAUAAUAAUUAAUAAAUUUGAAAACAAAUAUUAUUAAUAUUGAAAAACAACCAUAGAUUUGAUUUGAAGAGUAAAAUUAAAAAUUAUUAUUAUUAUCAUCAUUAAUAAAUUUGAAAAACAAUAUUAUUACUAUCAAAGAAAAAUAAUAAAUUUUAUUUGAAGGGAUUAAAAACUAUAAAAACUUGGGCCAAAUAAAUUUAAUAUUAUUAUUAACAUUAUAAAUUUUAUUAAAUUCAUUAAUAUAUUAAAUUUGCAAUGAAUUUUAUUACUAUUUUAAAAAACAUAGAUUUGAUUUGAAGGGUAAAAUCAAUUAUUAUUAUUAUUAUCAUCUAUGCCAAGAAGAUGGUUAUAAGUAGGCUUUGGGUGCGGCUCUGCAGCCAGACCUAAAGAUAUUAGGUGAGGCUGCACACCCACACCCAUAUUUAUUAGGUGUUGCUCCGCAGCUACACCCAACUUUACACCCAAUAGAUAAACCUAAUUGGGCUGGGUCCUCCUGCCAACUUUUACACCCAACAGCAGGACCCAAUUGGGUUUGGUCCUGCUGCCAGCAGGAUCCAACAACUAUCAACGUUGGGUCAAGUACCCAGUAGGACCCAAAAGCUUUGGGUCUGGCGCAGCGAGACCCAUCGAUGAUGGGUUCUGCUGCCAAUUGAAUCUAUCAGCGUUGGGUCCUGCUAAUCGGCAGGGCCCAUAAGUUGUGAGCCUUUCUGUUAGGCCCAAUGCUAUUGGAUCUGGCUUGCGCUGGACCCAAGACACUUAAAAGAUUCUCUACAUUUGACAAAAAAAUUGUUAUUGACACGCUGCAGAACGCAGACUAAUAUGCUAGAUAUCAAACUAUAGCGUGUGUACUGGAUUCCUAUGGAAAUUAUUUUUUAUAUAAAAAUAUAAUAAAAUAAUAUUUUUUAUAAAUUAUAAAUUAUUUUUUUAUAUUAAAAUUUAAAAUGAUUAAAAAAUAAAAAAUUGUUUUGAAAAAAACAAUUCAUAUUCUAAAAAACACAGUUUAAAAGCUACUAGAUGCCAUGCCUGCGCGAUGUCGCGGGCUUGUGCAUUGUUGUGGGUUUGUGGAAAAAAUCAUAACAAAAAAAAAAAACCAUAUGGAGAAAAAUUGUUGCAAUCCACAACGUUUUCAAGGAAAAAACUACAAAGCUAAAUCUCAACCAGCUUAAUAUUAAAAAAAUAAAAUCGACAAAGAUAAUUUUUAAAAAAAUCAUAAGAAAAAAAAAACGAAAUGAAAAAAAAUCAUGCAGGGAAACACUAUAGCAAUCUAUAGUGUUCAAUGAGGAAAUCUACUGUUGUAAUUCUCAACCAGCUCAAUAUUAAAAAUAAUAAAAUCGAUAAAGAUUGUCAUAACCCAAUUCUGGGUUAUUCCCCAAAAUUCACUUUUUUUUCAAAAUAAAAAAAUAAAAAUAAAUAAAGGCUGGCAACGUGGAGAAAGCAAGCCGGGAAAUCAAGCUGCAAUUUUUGGAGGAAAUUCAAGGCCUAAUUGUACCCCAUUAUGCCCCAAAAUAUAGAAAAAAUGCAAAUUCAAGGUCAAAUUAAAUGAUUAUUGGAAGAAUUUGCAUAAAAAUUAAGUCCAAUGACAUAAUUAAAUUUUUAAUAGGCCAAUUUGAUUUAAUCAUGGGUCAAAUUAAAUUUUAAUUAUGUUUAAGAAUUAAUUUGGGUCAAAUUAAAGGAUUUAAUUAAGUGCAAGGACUUAAUUAUACUUUAAAUGGGUCAAAUUAAUUUUAUUUGGGGCUUAAUUGGUGAAAAAUUAAGUUUGGGAGCCUAAUUUAGACUUAAUUGAGAAGAUUGGAAUUUUAAGAGAAAAUUUAAUUUUUUCCAAGUUAAUUGAUUGAAAUUAGGGAUCAAAUUGCAAGAAAAUUAAAGUUUUGGGGUCAAUUAGGGGUUAAAUUGAAGAAAUCCGAGAACAGGGACCAAUAUGCAACAGGCGACAAACUAUGAGGAUUCAAUUGACAAAACCCAGGGGUGAAAUUGAAGAAAUUGAAAGUUUAAUGGUCAAUUAGGGGUUAAAUUGACAAAAUCCGAGACCAUGGACCAUAUUGUAAACGGCGCGUAACUUCGGGGUUCCAAUUAAAAUUAAGUAGGGGCUUAAUUGCAUUAAAUCCAAAGUUUAUAGCCAAUUAGGGGUUCAAUUGAAAGAAAUUGAAAGCUUGAGGACUAAAUUGAAAAUCAAUUUAAAUCCCUGGUAUAACCUAAAACGGCGCCGUUUUAUAUUAAAAAAAAAGAGGACCAGACGACGCGUCGUCUGGUCACUGUUCAUUGUCUUCUUCUUUCACAUGAAAAAAACUGCUUUGGAGCCUUACUUACAGGUUCAUUUAUUGCUUGAUUUCUCCAUCAAAUCAAACACAACUUGCACGAAACGGAUCCCCUACAGUUCCUCUACAACCCCAUGUGAACGUUGCAGGAUGAAUGACAACACGGCGUCACCGGGGACGGCGUGAAGAGGUCAAUGCAGGCAGCCUUUUUCCUGCAGAUUUGACAACUCAGGGAGGCUACUUUGAACCAACGGUUGGGAUCCUUCCCAACAUAAUCAAGGGCUGAAAUUUUUUCCCGGUAUAGACAAGAUUGCCCUCUUCCACCGCCUAUAAAUAGAGGCGGAGUUGAUGGCCUGAUGGAGGAGAAAAUCGAGUCCAAAGUUGACAAAAAAACCAGCCUCCUCCCCAGUUUUUUUUUUCUUUUUCUGCAACAAGUCUCUCUCUCUACACUCUCUCUCACCAUGCUCUCAGCGACUCCAAGCCACGCUGCCACCAGUUCGUCUUCCACCCUCUCCACCACACUUAUUCCUCUCCACCGAAAGCACCUUCUUUUUCCUCCACAACGACAGCAGCCCAUCAACACCAUCAUUUUCAUUUUCUUUCUUCUCCAGUAUCGGCAGCAGCAACACCGACUCCACCACAGACGCCGCCACCAGCUUCAGGGCGACUACUCGGACCACCUCCAACCUCACUCCAGGUCGGUGACAUCAACUGCUUCUCCCCCCGCAAGGUUGCCUCCCGCUCCACUCCGCGGGCUGCAACUGCAAAGUUGCAUAUAGAACGUGAACUUACUGUUCACGUUCUGCACAUAAUUCAUUUCACUUGGGUCAGGCCAGUUCUGGCCCAGACCAAAUGUUUGGGUCGGGUCCGGCCCCCAAAAAGGAGAGAAAGAAAGUAUGUUGGGCCGAUAUCGGCCCAAUCUUUUUGGGGCCUAUAUCGGCCCACUGUUUCUGGGUUUAUGUCUGGCCCAGUCAUCUGGGCCGGCCCAGCCCACCUGUUUUAAUAAUAUUUAUUUAAUAAAUAAUAUUAUAUUAUAUAUUUCUUUUAAAAAAAAAAACGAAAAAUUCCAAAAAAAUUUCAAAAAUCCUUUGAAAAAAAUUGUGAUUUUCUCAAAUAUUUUUUUUACCAAUUUUGCAUAAUAUUGGGUUGUAUAUUUACACUGUAAAAUACAAAUCAUGUAUUAAAAUACCUGGUUUUCUUUGAAAUAUUUCAAAAAAAAGAAAAUUAAAACAUUCUCAAAAAGAAAAAAUAUUUUAUUGCAUACGGCCAAAUCCUAAAAUUUUUCCAAGCAUAUUUUUCAUAUAAAAAAACGAAAACAAAAAUUGCAUCUUUUUGAUGUUUAAAAAAUCCAAAAAUGGAUAUCGUAACCAAUUUAUGAUUAUCCACUAGGAUUUGGUCAACAUGUCAAAAACCUUUUUCUAAUUUUUUUAGGGUCCAGAUGUAGACUUUAAUAUUUAUGGGUGUAAAAUUACACGAUAAAAUACACCCUCAAGUAUUAAAGAUACAAGGUGUAAAAAUACGAUGCUAAAAUUCAGACUUUAAAACUGUUAGGAUUUAACCCAAUAAGGUAGAGACUUUCUCAUGAAGAGAGAUUUGCCUUGAGCCUUAGAAAAGACCAACGAAUAGAAACCCAACUUGGAAAAAAACAAUCAAACAAUAAUGCAGCUUACCUUAAGUAGGGUGCAUUAGGGGUGAUGCAUCUUCCCCUUGCACAACCAGUCCCUUACUCAGACUCUCGCAGACCAUAGGUUCCUAGUGACCAUAAUACUAGGUGGUGACUCCUGAAUCUUAAUCAUAAUUUUAUGAUUAAAUCCAAAAAAAUCUUCCUAACACACAACACACCUCACAUAGGAGGCACGACAGAAAGCCUUCUUUGUCGCCAGACGACAUCGCACCGGCUCUUGCGCAUCCUGCGACAAAGAUAAUUUAAAAAAAAAACCAUAAUAAAAAAAUUAUGUGGGAAAAGACUGUAACAAUCCACAGUUAAAAAAAAAAAAAACUAAAUUUCUAACCAGCUUAAUAUAUAUAUAAAAAAAAAAAAAGUCUUCGGUGGCGAUUGAUAGCUAUGCGAUGAACUACUCAAAAUGCUAGAACAAUUGCAAAUCCCAGUUGCUAUGUAAUGGAACUUCCAGGCUAAGGCUCCUUUAAAUUACCUGCACGCCCGGCCUAGGAAAUUAUUAUUCUAAUUAUUCAACGACGACUUCAAGACUUGGCUGGCGUCGGGUGAUGACGAAGACAUUAUGACGUAGGUCUGCUGAAGUGGACCAAGUGUUCCAUGACAAUGCUGACUUCAGUUAUUUUUUAAUAUAUUUUUUUAAAAAUACAUCAAAAUAAUAUUUAUUAUUUUUUAAAAUUAAUUUUUGAUUUUAGUACAUUAAAAUAAUUUAAAAAUAUCAAAAAAAUAUAAAAUUUUUAAAAAACAUGAUUUAAUUGGAAAAAAAAAACAAAACCUCCUAGGGCUGUUUUAUUAUUAUCCUCGUUCCUCGAACUGUCUAAAUUAACAAGGAUACCCGCACUGCCUAAUUUCCCGGUCGUCAACGGUGGCGCCUCAUUCGAUAAUGGGGUAUCCUUUGGUAGGGCUGUUUUGUUUUAUUGUUAACUUUGUUUAGAAUUUUUCUUAUCAACCUGGUGGGGCCGGCCAUUGAGAAGUGGGUCUAGAAAAUUUGAUGCUGUCGAGAAAGGCCGUAGAUUCUAAACUUCGAUCUUAUCCAUGGAAUUAUAAAAAACAAUUAUUAAUUCAUGCACAUCAAAAAAGAUUCUAUAAGAUAAUAAUAAAGGCGAGGAGGUUGGCACAUACACGCGCGAGACCACGAAGCAACGUUGUUGGCUUUUGCUACCAGAAAAUGGAAAUCCAGUUAUACUUUACAGAUCAACUAAUGAUUUCACGAGAAUUAAGAAGGAAAGCAUUAAAUUUAUGGAAAUCUUUUCUUGGCAUGUGAGGGGAACGAGUCAGCAGUCUGGGUACAGUUGUUGGCUUUUGCUAACUUCUCCUGGCUAGCCAUUAAUCCUAUCCGUCUUUGGCCUCUCGUGAACAUGCGUUCUUUUUUAAAAAUAUUUUUUAUUUAAAAAUUAUUUUGGAUAUUAAUUUAUCAAAAUAAUCUGAAAAUAUUAAAAAAAAUUAAUUUUAAAAAAAUUAAAAUUAAAAUUUUAUUAAAAAUACUUUUAAAAUACAAAAACAAACACUAUAUAUAUAUAUAUAUAUAUAUAUAUAUAUAUAUAUAUAUAUAUAUAUAUAUAUAUAUAUGUUCUUCCACCAAAACAGGAUCCACCCUCUAGAACCCUUCAAAUAACUGCCAUGAACCCAAUUUCCACUUGCUCGAUUUCAUUUAUCAAGGACAUAUCAGUUACGAAAGAAAUGACAUUUCUAUUGGAUGGAUUUGUCUUGCUUAGCUCUGAGUUUAGAGUAAUGCUGCUUUCUUGAUUCUGAAAUCCGUCUCAACAGGUAAUGUGAGAAGGCAAAGAGGGGGGAAGAAGACUAUCCAGUUGCUUGGAUUGGACACUCUUGUUCCUUUUACGGUGGAGAUAGAAAGGUUUCAUAGUAUAAUGUUGCUUAAGUCACAAUCAGCCCUCUUUUUUUUUUAAUCUGCAAAACAAUUACAGGAAUAUUUGCACCAGAGGUGAAGCUGCUGCUGCUUCAUCCAGCCAGAAAGAAACAAAGAGAGUGGCACAAUGGAACCAUGCAUGCCACCUCUUCCCAAUUUUUUGACAGGACUGAUAAGCAUUUUCCUCUACGAAUGACGAAAACCUCAUAACAAGUGAUGGAGAUUUGAGAACAACAAGCAACCAUGGAUUCCCAAGUUUCAAAUGGGUCACAGGAUUCACAUAAACUUAGCCAAUCCGGUUAUUUAUUUUUGGUAUCGAAAUACAGGACAUGAAAAUCCUUCAGCAACACACCUCUUAAUUACAUAUCAAUAACAGGAAAGACAUCCACAUCUUCACACACAUGCAACAAACACCUUACAUCGCACGCUUCUUAUAGCAGAAAGCCCAUAAAACCAGAUACAAAGAGCGCUUGCCCGCUUAAGCUCUGCGGCACACAUCUCCAUCGCAGUUCCAUCCUUCCUUUCCCUUUGCCUUCUCCUCAAGCUCCUCCUCCAUUUGCUUUAGAUGUUCCUCGGUAAAUGGAAAAGCAUCUGCCCCGUAAGCUGUCAAGUGCAUCCGAGCUUCCUUGGUAAUGGUCCGGCCACUUGGGCCAAUCGCUACAGCUGCAGGAAUGCCUUGAAUUUUGAAUUUCCGACUCAGGAUUUGUUUCCUUUCAUCACCAAAUGGAAGGGCUAACCAAGGCAUUUCUGAAUAGAACUCGUCAAAGGUGGAUUGAUCUCUGUCGCUUGAGAUGAAGAUCACCUCAAAUGCGUUGUCUUUUCUUUUAAUUGUGUGGUAUGCUUCAAUUAGCUUGGGUAAAAAGGCACGACAAGGAGGGCACCAUUGAG
rnacentral:lncRNA from 1 species